rnacentral:lncRNA from 1 species
CGAGUAACAUGCGCGAAUUUAAGCAGGCAAAUGGUAACCAUGGAACGCCCAUGAAUGACUGCUGCAAAGCAUACGGUACUAGAAAGCGGGCCACAGCUUCAAAAGCUCUUUAAUUGAGCUCAAAGAAAAUCUGAAAGGACAGGCAUGCAGAACAAAAACAAGGAUGCUAUCUUCCUCUUUUUUUCCUCCGUGUCGGUUAUGCAGGCAGCUAAAGACGCUAGUCCUCUAGACCUGAUAUGGCCUUGCACUACGAUUCCUGACACCCUCUGGACGUUAAAUACAAAUUAUCCCGUGAAAGGCUAACCAGGAAAUAGAAACGGGCCUCCUUAAAAUGUCUCAAAACCCCUUUUUUUUUUUUUUUUUCUUUUGGUGGAAAAAUAUCUCAAAACUUAAAUGAUAUUAAUAACGGACGCAAAAGGCGAUUAAUCCUCGUAUCAGCCAUAUGCUGAAUGGCCCCUUCCUCGUUUCAACCUUCACUUCUUCUCAAAACUUCGGUCGUGGCGUGACUCUAACAGAGAUUGGUGAAGAAAGAAAAGAAGAAAGCGGACAACCUAAAGAUUUGAGUGGGAUCACAAGAGGUAGCAAAGUCCAUGGCCUCGAGAAGCGAAUCGAAAAAGACAGAAGACUUACUGAUGAUGCAUCGAAAGUGGGGUGCUGGGUUGAAACAAGAUAGAAUCUGGAUAUUAUUGUCAUUCUUGGAUUGGCCAACUAUAAUCGCAGCAUGGUUGUUGAUUAUUUUGUUGCUAGCGUUUCUGAAUUUUUUUUUAUUAUUAUUUUGUGUGUGUGUGUGCGCGUUCGUGAAUUUGGAAGCGUUAAUGCACCAGAAUUAGAGGAAGCACGUGCCAUCCUACCCAGCAAAUUGCCCCGUCGUUUUCAGUUUUCAAGCUCUUGUCCUUUAAUGAUAAAAAGAAGAAAAAAGGUGAGAUUGGAUUCUACAGAUUCCCACAGCUACUAACAUCCGACAAAACCAUGAGAUUAUACAUCGUUAUCUUUUUAUCCCCAAUCUUAUUCCGAGAUGCCUUGACGGGCACGGGCCUUCGAAAGUUAGGUGAAUCCUUUAAUUGCCCUACGCUGUUUCUUCGAUUAGAUAUUCCACCUAAAACAAGAACCAUGGUAUAGCUCCCACAGUCUUUACACCUAAAUCAAAACCUCGGAUCCCUGGAUAGAAAACCAAUGAAUGCCACCACACACACACACACGCAGAGGGACAUUAACGAAUGUGGAAUUGAUUUACCUGAGCAAAGUUGGCAAGGACCAGAAGUGGGAAGGUGGCCAGGAUAAGCAGUGAGACCCUCCAUUCCACUAUGAAGGCAACCAUAAACGACGUGAGCAGUGACGUCAUAUUCUGCAGGAUCACCGAAAUCCUCUCAGCAAUGGCGGAUUUUACAUCUGCUGCAUCGGUGGCUAAGCGGGCUGCCAAUAGGUUUGAAUUAUGUUCCUCCUCAUCGAACCAUCCAACUUCAUUCCUCAAGAUUGCUGACGUGUUUUGAGAGAGAAUUAAUGAGUAAAAUGAUAUUCAAGGCCUCCGUGAGAGAUGAAAUCAAUACAUUAACGUUUCUUAAACAGGUUAUAUACAAGACUCGGUCGUAUUAGGAAUGAUUUCAUAAUUUACCUGCAAGCAUCAUCCUCCGCACUCUUGUAGUGAGGUUCUCCCCCAUGAUACUGAAGAAGUAAUGCUGUAUCAAAUAUGCAACAACAGCAUAAAGACCAGCUCCAAUGUAAAUGAAAACAUACUCCUUCGUUUUCCUUUCCAUGCUAGCAGGAUUUCUGUAGUAGAAAACCUCAAUCAUAUUGCCCAUCACAAUGGCAAAUGUUGGACCAAUGAAUCCUGACAGAAUGGAUCCUACAGCCCCCAUUAUUGAAUAAGGCCAUUCAGGAGCAUUCAGCUUAAGAAGCCUGCAGAAGUACCCGUGUGGUGCUGGAUUUUUCCUAUCUGUUUCAGCAUUUGAUACCAUCUCUAUUCGACCGUCAGCCCCAGUGCUGUACUGAUAGCUCAAAUUCCUCAAACUGCCAGAGCGGAGGCUUAACGACUUUGUUGACAACGAGUGGCUUAACCUGGUGGAGCGAGACCGACGGGUUGAUGGAUUCGAAAAGUCUCUGUUGCCCACCAUUUCCUGGAACCUAAUUAAUGAACCAUAUGCCCCAGCUUUGGCAACUAGUUCUUCAUGUGUUCCAGUUUCUACAACCUGGCCUUGCUGUAUAACUGCAAUAGAAUCAACAUUUCUUAUGGUGGAGAGGCGAUGGGCAACGACAACAGUCGUCCUUCCAACCAUGAGACGGUCCAAAGCUUCCUGAACAAUGCUCUCUGAACCCGCGUCCAGGGCACUUGUUGCUUCAUCAAGCAGCAGGAUCUUGGGGUUCUUCAACAUAGCUCUGGCAAUUGCUAUUCUCUGCUUUUGACCACCAGAAAGUUGGAUGCCACGCUCUCCCACCUACAUUUUAAGGAUACUUUCACAAACUAAAAAUUAAAGAAUAAUGAACUUAAAUUUGUUGAACAUGAGGCAAUUUUCAUAUGGCUGAUUUUCUUCUUCUAUUUCUUUUGUGCUUUUAGCACAAGUUGAAAUAGGUUUAUCAACGCUGGUUGAUGAAUCAUAUUUGUAUGUUUAUCAAAUACCAGGAGAAUUUGGAUAGAGUUGUAUGUGACUUUCAACCUGAGUGUUGUACCCAUUAGGAAGCAAGGUAAUAAAGCUAUGAGCAUUUGCAGCAGUUGCAGCAGCCUCCACCUCAGCCAUUGUUGCUUCAGGCUUUCCAUAGAGAAUGUUUUCAAGUAUGGUGGUAGCAAAGAGUGCAGGUUCUUGGUUCACCAAACCAAUUUGAUCCCGCAACCAUCUCAAUUGCAGCGUCUUUAUAUCCACAUUGUCCAGCAAAAUUUGUCCUGCCAGAUGACCAAUGAACUAAGUACAACUGCAUUUUAAAAUAGCACGAUUGGUCAAAACCUUGCAUGACAUAAUCUAUUGAUUACCCUGAUUAGGAUCGUAGAACCUUUCUAUCAGGGAGACUACAGUGCUCUUUCCUGAACCACUACCACCGACAACAGCCACCGUCUUUCCAGCAGGGAAGAAAAUAGAGAAAUCUCUGAAAAUCAUGACAUCAGGUCUUGAUGGAUAGCUAAAGGUUACAUUUUUGAAUUCAAUAUUCCCGUUGACCUCAGCCAAGCACUUCCCAUCAGAAGGAUCUUGCAAUAUUGUUGGUUUUUGUUUCAUAAUCUCCAUUAAUUUGUAUCCAGCUGCUUUACCUUUGCUGAAUGCCCCUAGGUUGGAAAACGACUGACCCAAACUCCUGAAAAUUUAAUUAAGCAUUUGGUUAUUGAUGAUUUUACUCGAUUAUACUAAUUCCAGGUAUUAGACAUUUUAAUUUAAGAUCUUACAUUCCCCCAACAAUAGCAGAAAAAAUAGCAGUGAAUGCCUUUCCCCCAUCAGUCUGUCCAUUCCUGAUAAAAACACCAGCAUACCAAAACACCAGGGCCCAUGACAUGCAUGCUAUUCCAUAGGUGCAUCCCAAUCCAAGGCCUUUGGCCAUUCCUGCCUUGUACCCGAGUUUCAAAGUAUUCUGUAUUGCAUCUGAAUAAGAAUUGAGAGCCUUACUCUCGCCAACAUAUGAGUAAACCGUCCUAACUUGUGCAAUGGCCUACGCAAAUGGCGAAUCAGUUAGAAGAUACUAGCAUAAAGCAACUAUAGUCAUGUAUGUGACCAAUCCAACUAAUUCACCCGUCAAGUAUAUGGUAAAAGUAUUUAAAAAGUGAAACUAAGCUUUUUCAUUAAAUGCUAAAAAGCAAAACCAGCAAAAAGGGGCAUUGAUUAUUAAGAUAGUUGUCAAAUUUAGUCAUUUAUACUGCUUGACGUUAGCUAAACUGAGCUGGGUUAAAAUGAAUAAAUUACAGAAGCUAAGUACGUCACGCUCAGUGUAGAUAAAGCUUUAAAGGUAAAAGCCAAUUGCCAACUAAGGGAAAAAGCUAUAAUUAUUAAAUUAAGGAAAGGUCAACAAACUUUUUGAUAGCAGCACAUGUAAGAUCAUUAUUCCUCUACAACAGUGAUUUAACUACUAUUAUGGCUAAAGAUAAGAUGAGGGACCAAUACAAAAACCAAACUAUCAAAGGGAGCAUAAAGAAAAAUGUACAAAAUUAAUUCAGAAGGAGGCAGGAGAUAAUUAAAUCCUACAAGAUGUUCAGAGGCCAAAGGCGGGAAGCUGGCUCACCUGUUCUGCAAUUAUACCGGCAUUGGCAUAAGAUUCGCGACUCUUGGAUGUUAGACCUGUGAGCGUGUAUGCAUACAAACCCCCAGCAAAAGCAAUUCCGGGGAUCACAGCCACACUCAGCAGAGCUAGCCUCCAUGCUGACACAAAACCAACCACCAAACCAGCCAAAAAUGUGGAAAGAUAAUGGAUGAAAUUUCCCACCUGAAAAAUCCCAAAUGCAGAAACAUAAUUACAGAAAUCAAGACCGUCUCUUUCGACACGACAAUUGAUAGCACAAUCAUUAAAGCGAAUUUCGAAUUAUAGCCAUGCAUAAAUAUUUUAUGUUACAUAAACAGGAACAUGGAUGAUGAUUAUUGGGCAUGCUCGCUGUUCUUAAUGGCUUUCAACUCCCCCUGAGUGGAUGCCGAAGAUGAAGGGAGCAGCAUCGAGGAGAGGCGCUACCAUGCGCCAGCAAAAGGUAAGAAUGAAAUUAAUUUCUGGGAAGGGUCCCGCAUUAAUUGAGAACCAACAACCCAUCGAUCACACCAUCCAUGUAUCCCUCUUUAAUGCGAGUGCAACACAUGAGUGCAAUACUAGAUUACACCGUUACUAAAAGACAGAGGGAGAAGAAAUAAAUGAGAAAAGAGAGAAAUUGAUAAUAAUAAUUAAAAAAAAAAAAAAGAACCUUCUCACUGAUGGCAUCUUGGACAAGAAGGGUAUCCGUUGAGACGCUGAAAACAAUAUCUCCAGUCCUAGCAUCUGUAUCGAAAAAUCCAACGUCCUGUUUCAACACCGCCUCCAAAUACUUCCUCCUUAAUGCUCCAGCUUGCCUCUCCCCACUAUGCAUCCAGCAAGCAAUCUCUGUUUAAUGCAUAAGUAUUUUUCACCACGCCAUUAGAAUUUGGCCAUCAAGCUAAUUAAUUAGUAUUUACUACUACCGCUACUGAGCUUAGCUUAAUCACCAGCUAAAAUAGAAUUAGACGUAUACUGCUAAUCAGUAACUCGAAUUCGUGAAGAUGGCCGUACUAAGUUCCUUUUUUGACGAUUGUUUUGUCCAUAUACUGCAGCCCCCCGGAAAACCAAGAUUGAGAAUUUUGAUGUAUCGCGCAGUGAAAGAGAUGUGAGAGAUAGUGGGAUAAUACUAUAAAAAUAGAGUGACAUUGAGGAAAUGGACAAAUGAGAGGGGAAAAAGACAGGGGACCGUCCACGGGCCACGUGCAAACCCAACUCCACGUUGAUCCAAAAUGACCUGGCUGGCUGGCUCACUACUAGUUGUACUCUACUCACUUAUUUUUAUGCUGCUACUGCCCAAAAUACCACCCCACGGCCACGACUACGAUUACGCGAAACUCAAAAAACUUUUUGCAUCUGCAAAUGUGCUUGUAGAAUUGUUGUACAGCAAUAAUUUUUUUUUUCCUUUUUGUUUCAAGAAAAUUAUUAGUAAUUUCAACAAAGAGAAGAAAAGGCAUGAGAAUUUGGAAAAAAAGGACUAGUAUGAAGCAGCUUUACCGGCGUAGGAUGAAAAGCACACAAUCAAUCCAAGGUAGAUGAAGUAGAGAGCGUACUGCAACGUUCAAAAACCAAGCGAUUUAGAUCUCAUAAUAGUAGUAGUAGUAGUAGUAUUAAGCAACAUCCCCCAAAACAAAAAAUAAUAAUAAUUUAAAAAAGAAAGAACUUGUAGGAGUGGGAGGAGAUUGGGGAACCUUGGCGACUUCAUGGAUCAUUUUAUGUAAAUCAGUUUGGUUUUUGCCGAAACCAUUGACCAUCUCGCCGAACAACAGGAAGAAAACCGGCAUGGAGGAGCCGUGUACAACGGCUCCGAGGCUCCCAGUGAUCAUCAAAAGCCAAUCAUACUUGUCUGCGAAGGAGAACAGCUGAUAGAAUGGUAGACUCUGCUCCUUCUUCUUCUCCGCCUCAGGCAUUGCCGCUAUCGCUUCACUAUUCUCAGCCAUUGCUUGUACAGAAACCAAAAGAACACCCCUCUAAAAGUCUUGAGAAGUUUUAAAGCUCUCAACAACCCACCACUCAGUGAGUGAGUCAGUCAGUCAGUCACCAGUUGAGAAGGAAGAAUCGUCUAUACCAGCUGCUGGGAGGUAAAUGGGUGGUGAUCAUGGUGAGACUGGUUUACCACCAUGUUAAGAAAUCAAAAGAAGAAGAAGAAGAAGAAGUACAGUGCAAUGGAUGAAGAAACGUGACUCAGAGAUCUGAAAGAGGGAGAGAAGAGGAGAUGGCUUUGUUUGUAUCGUACUAUAGUAGAGGGAUUUUUUUUUUCCCCUUUUAAUUUUCUUCAAUGCAGAGAGCCAGGAAGAACUGACAAGCUGUCGGUCACGUAUUCUUUCAAGAGGUGAUAGAUAGAAUGAGCGAGCGAGUAUUAACUAAGCAGCCGCACCAGACCGACCAAGGGAUAGAGAAAUAAAGCUUGGGUUCGCCGGAAAGAGGAAGUGAUGGCCACCUGAGUCCUGAGCGGGGAGGGGCUGGAAGUAGAAUUUAGUAAGACUAGCAGUCAAAGGAGGAAGUGGUAUUGGUGGUGGGUAUAGGGAAGAUGGGGAAAUGGUGGAGGCACACGAGAGACUUGGGGGUCGCGCUUUACAACUUUACUUAUAGUCAUUGAGGAGGAGACUGCAGUAAAGAGACGCUUAACCGGGGGUUAAAAUUUUGCGUUUGGUCCCGGUUUUUUUUUCUUUGGGGUCAGGGUUGGUUAACUCGAAUCUGACCCUUCAUUUUUUAUUUUUUAUUUUUUAAAAUCUCUACUUCCGCUGCUUUGAGCACUGUGCUCUCUGCCAAACUCUGUACCACUCUAUGCAGUACCCAAUUUAUUUAUUUAUUUUUCAUGUUUAUUGUUCUUGCCCAGUUGGAAAUUGGAAUUCAACGAGGAGUAGAAAGUUGAAUUCGCAACUGCUGUACAUAUUAUCUUCAUCCCUUUUUAUUUUAAGGAACUGUACAUAUUAUCACUAUCAGUAAUUAUAGAUGUUUUCUAUAUUGAAGUACUAUUAUAUUUGAGUUUGUUUUAACUUAAAACAUGUUUGAUAAUUCAGUUCAUCACUUAAAUUUAAUGGAUUCAGAUCUUAACAUAGUUAGACUAUUUAAUAACUAAAAAUUGAAUAUCUGAAUUAAUUAAGUGACACUGAAUUUUCUAAACAAAACUUAUUCCCAAAAUUAAGUAAUAAACUAUUCACUUAUCAUUGAAUGUGGUAUGCACUCAAAAUGUAUUAUAUUUAAUAUUUAACAAUUUAAUAACUUAAUGAAUUCAAAUUUCAAAUUUCAGAUUUCAAAUUUCAUUUUUAUGAAACGCACCCUUAGUGUUCAUUCCAUUAUUCAUGUGUCAUUAAUCGUUAUUUGAUACUAAUACUAUUGUUAUUCAUACCCUGGAUAUGUUGAUUUCACCAUAAAACUACUGUACAUUGAUUGCAAUCACAUUAAAAAAUUAAUCAUAUUAGAAAAUUGUACUAAUUAUUCCAUUUAAAUGCAUAUUAUUAUCUUAGAUAGUGUCCAAUAUUGUGCUCCCUUUCCAAGUUCCAGAUUAAUGGUUUAGAAUAAUGCGGUUGACCUCUAAAGGAAAUGCAAAUAAGUUAGAUCAUAACAAAAUAACUUACUUACAAAGUGAGAUUUUACAGUGCAACAUACUAGUGAUGAGGGAGGCCAAUAUUGAGAUUUUUUUUUGUCGUCUCUUUUACAAAGUUAAGAAUUGAUACUAAAUUUCUUCUCUAAAUAAAAUAAAUUGUGAAGAUAUUGAUGGUAUUUCUGGGGAAUUUAAAAAAAAAUCUAUUGAUAUCGACACCAGAGCUAAAAAGAAAAGGUCAUGUAUGAGAAAAUUGGUAAUUAUCUGUUAGGUACAAGCGAUACGAUAAGUGCUUUCAAAGGGAGAAAAAACAAAAGAAAUGUUAAUUUUUUUUUCCCUUGAAGCUAAAUAGAAAUGUUACUUUGGUACAAUUAAGACCAAGGCCCAAAGUUUCCCAAAAAAAAUUUUAAGAGCAAGGCCCGUAUUUUCAUUACAAUUUAUCGCCCCGAUGAUACUUCCGGGACAUUCAGAUUCAAUAAAAGUGGAACCGCACAAUGAUCAUUGUGAAACCCUUCUCUCUCUCUUUUUUUCCUUAAUUUAUUGAGUAAGUUAUCACGGCCUUCUUCUGCUGUAAAAUUGUUUUAAAUGCUUUUAAAUGAUAGGGGAUUUUAUGACCCUUGAAUAAACUAUAAGGAGAUUUUCUAUAAUUUACACCAGAAGAAAACUAACAAGUGAGUCCAAGACCCCUGCCUUUUUUUCCCAAAACAAAAAAGGGGCUUCCCCCUCCAAGACCAGGGGUGUGUGAACUGGGCUAAAGCAAACAGCUGGACUUUGAUGGUAAAUUUUCUUUUUUUUUUUGGGAAAACAUUCUCAAAACAAUCAAGAAAUACUCGUUUGACAGCAAAAUGUACAAGUGGUUUUCUUCGUUUAAUUAAAUUUUUUUUAAUGAAAACUCAAAAGCAUUCUCUAUUUAUUUAAUUAAAUAUUUACUAAGCCAUACACUUUCAUGAUUAAACUUUUUUUUUUGUUUUAGGUUUUCGUGAUUAAACUUCUUCUCUGUUGUAAUGAUUGUCUUUUCAAAAUCCUCCUCAUAGUACCCAUAUUCGGAAAAGGUUAGAUUAUUUUCCAUUAUUGCUAGCUGUACUAUUACAUUGCUGUUUCGUUAUAGCUAUUAUUAGUGACUUGUCAAAUGAUGUGUAGUUUUAACUUUAAUAAAUUCGAUUUCAUUAUAAUAAAUAUACAAACUAACCUAAAAGCAAUAUAUUAUGAUCAUCCAAAAUACCCGAAAGAAUAUAAAACACACGCACACACAUAUAUAUUUAUGUAUAUUGUCCCUGUUGAAGACUUAAUUUUCUGAAAGGCCCCUUCAUUCAAAUUGAUUUCUACUUUUACCCCCCUGUCCACAUGAGUUAUUUGCAUUGGCCAAUUGUUCGUGCUCUUGUAGGGAUGAGGGGCAUCUAAACUACAAUUGCAAUUGUCGAAUGGAGCCCAUGCUUUGCGCUGGGUCUUUUUUCCCCCCUCUUUUUUUGCCUUAUAACGCAAUAGUAUUUUUGAGUUUUGUCCAGAAGUACAUGUCAGAUUGUUGUUGUUUCUACUUUCUACACCAUUGUGCAUGUAUGCAUUACCGGUGUUUAUGUGCACGUUACCAUUUUGGUUCUAACAUCACGCUCUGCAUUUAAGGUAGCUACACAUAGAUUGCUAUAUAUGUUUAGAAUUUAGAAGAGAUUGAGAUUUUUAUACAAUUGUAUGGUGCAAUUGAAAUUGGCAAUAAUGAAAGCUUCUAAACCUUUUAAAAGUAUCGUAAGAUGUUAAAUUCGGCUAAAGCAGCAAUCAAAUAAAGGGAGGCUCCUUUAAAGAUUUAUGCAUAUAUUUGGAAAUGUUUGGAUAGUAGAUUAUUUUUGGAUAUUUUUUUAUUAAAAAAAUAACGUAACAUUUUUUUAUACAUGUAUUACCAUUACAUGCGUCACCAAUGUAUCAGCACUUACUUAGGAUGUGGUAUGCCAUGUGAAUUCGACAUAUAAUUCAUCAAUUACAGCUAAAUUAUACUUAAGGUGCGUUUGAUAAAAUUGAAAUAUGAAUCCAUAAGUUAUUGAAUUGUUAAGUAUUAAAUCUAAUACAUUUGAGUGUAUAUUACAUUCCGUGAUAAAUGAAUAGCUUAUCACUGAAUUUUGAGAGUAAAUUUUGCAUAAAAAAUUCGUUGCCACUUAAUUAAUUCAGAUGUUCAAUUUUUGUUAUCAAACGAUUUGAAUAUGUUAAAAUCUAAAUCUAUUAAAUUUAAGUGCUGAACUAGGUUAUCAAACAGAACAUUAGUCAAAUAAAUACUUACAUAAAAUUAGACUAAAUUUGCCACGUUUGAGAUUUAAACUCAAGACCCGAUCAACAUAUAUAUAGAUAUGUAUAUUACUUUUUAAGGUAUGAAAACUAACUUUUAGGGAAAGAUAUUCGAAUCAAUGUGCUGAAUAACGGCAUUGCUUUGUCAUGCACAACGUUUUUCUUUAAACCUAUAGUUGAUGUGUACGUAUCAUUCACUUUUGUUAUUGAACUAUGAAUUGUUGCUCUGGUAGACGAACAAUGGACCCUCGUACGCAACGACGCGAGUCAAGAGGUAGAAAGUAUUUUGUUUUGUCUGCCCAAAUCCCAGCCGUAUUCUUAUCCCGCACCAAUGCUGAAUAUGAAAAAAAGGAGCCAAUCCUCCGCAAGCAACCUCCCGAAGUUAAUAAAUUUUGAGACACCGAAGAGAUAUCCCAUCUGUUUUAGAUUUGGAUGAUGCCAAACAAUCAAUCAACGGAGAAUAUUAUUAUUAGCCUGUUAAUUUCAUGCAGAGACGUGAAUCAAGAUAACACCAUUUGUUAUGUUUUGGGGCGGUGGGGGUGGUUGAGGUGGCUAAAUCAAGCAGGCAUUUUGGGCUCCUGUCCCUUCCAAUAUCCAUCCCAACUUCGAUACAUCUUUUUCAUCGCGAAAGAGAAAGAGAGAUGUGAGUGCCGAAUCUACCAUGUGCAUCCAAAACCCAUCUACUCAGGCUUGGUGACCUCUGCCUGGUGGUUCCACUCAAUUAAUUCUUCCCGCUUUAUCAUUUGGCUAUUUACAUUCUCAUGCUUUCAUUUCAUGUCUCCGACGAGGCUUAGCUACCAAUUAGUCUCACCUUCUAAAUACUACCAAACAAACGGGGGAAAAAAUCGCAACGGAUCUUCUGUUUCAUAUCCUGUGUCACUCUCUGUUCCACGUUUUAUUAUAUUACUAUUUCUCCUAUAUAAACAUCAUAUUUUAGUUUUUUUUUGUUUUCUUAAGAUUCAAUAACUAUUAAUUGAAUAAAAAAUAAAUACAGCAGCUUAAAAAAAGCAAUAUAUAAUAGAAAAUUAAAAAAUACAGUAGAACAUUCUUAAAAAAUCUCAUUUUUUAUGCAUUUUGAUUUUUUGAGUUUGUUAAAUUUUGUGUAUAACUCAAUUAAUAGUUAUUGAAUCUUAAGGAAAAAAAAAAACUAAAACAUGAUGUUUAUGUAGAAAAAAUAGCAAUAUAAUAAAAAGUGGGACAGAGAGUGGCACAGGGUGUGGGAUAGAAGAUCUGUUGCGGAAAAAAAUCCCCUUUUUUUUUUUCCCUGGGUACAAAUAAACAGAGAGAGUUUUCUCCUCCAUAAUUGUCAGGCAGAAAUGUUGGUCCAAAAGAAAUAGGCUUUCAUUCCAUGGAAGCAUUUUUUUGCUCAUGUGAUCCAUCACGAACUAGCAAAUUUGCCCGUGUGAUCCAUUUGUUUCCUUCAGUAAAAUCUCCUUUUUUUUUUUCCCUUCUGGAAUUUAUUCUGUUGAUCAUGAGUUAACGGAAUUCAUCCUGGGUGGGUUCUUCAUGAUUAUUCGCAAAUGAGAAGGAAAAUGGAAAUGUCAAAAGGUCGCACAACUAGGUAGGUUAAUACGAUUCCUUGCUCGUCUAAUGGAAGACCAUGCUCAUCGCGUCGAUCCCAAAUGCUAUGUCUAAAAGUUUUUCCUGUUCUUUGUUUCCUUGCAAGUAUUUAACGAAAAAUAAAUAAAUGCACGACAGACCCCAGCAUUAUAUCCUGGAAGAAAAAAAAAGAGGAAAGAAAAAAAAAAUGAAUAGAAGAGCUUUAUUGCUGUUCCAUUGCUUUUCCCCAGCCUAGCCCACCAAAGCUUUUCAUUUCGUAAAGAUGAAAAGAAAUUUCUCAAGAAAUGCAGCGUCGUGCUCCCAUCGUGCAUGUUGCCAUCCACAGCAGACCUUUGCUUUCGGCUUUCGCGAACCAGUUGAUCUGUGCAUAUAAAGGCUUCACCACCUUCCUCCCAAGUCCUACCUAAUCUUCUGAUCAAAAGUUACGAAUCAGAACUUGAUUACUAAAAUCAUGCAUACUCCUCUGCUCUAGCAGUAUAAUAAAUACUACUAAUAACUAGCUGCGGCUAGCCUUAUUAGCACGAUCAUGAGCAGCCAAACAACGUGGCUAUCUAGGUAUAGCUUGGGACUAGCAUCUCCCAGGAAAAUGUCAAGCGUCGUAGGAGGAAAUCCCAUGAUUCUUCCUCCUGACAAAUAGGUCAAGUGUCGUAGGAGGAAAUCCCAUGAUUCUUCCUAAACAUCGUCAGUUGACAGGGAAUUUAACGUUUUCUAGCCUGUUGUAAUUACGUUUUUCGGCAGCUGCAACAGUUUUAGUACAUUAUUAUUGGCAGACAAUGGUUAAACUAUCAAAUCAAAUGCUCGCGUCCUAGAAAGCGAUAUAUCCCUCCGUCCAGAUUCAACUGAUUAGAAGUCCUGAAAACAACGACGGAAAUGAAAAAAGUGAAAUCGCUGCCACUAAUGUUUACAAUCAGGAAAGUGAGAUUGAAUGAUCUUAAGUGGUGAGUGUCAGAUCAAACAGUUACUAAAUAGGAAAUACGCAUGGUCUGCUAAAGCGUUUGGCAAAAAGAAGCUCACAACUUAACUUACUAUGGUUUGGAAUCGGCCCUUAAAAAAUUGGGACUUCAGCAUCGAAAGGUGCUUUGGUCAAGAAAGUAUGGAAUGGGAACGAUAGAGGCCUGUUAUUUGUUUUUGAGCAAUGAGAUUUAUUAAUAAAAAUGAAGUGGCUUCGGUUGGGUUGUAGGCGCUUUUGGAGACAUUAGAUCCAUUUUCGCGAAUAAUUUAGGAAUGGUUUAAAUUUAGUUAACAGCAGGGACUGGUAGGCUACUAUGUAGGCAUGUGACAUGCCCCUGAAAAUUACGCUUCGUCCAUCUGCAAACAUGAUGCAUUUUUCUUUCUUUUCCAUCACUUUGUGCCGUCGCUUCUCCGUCCUCUAACCCAACCCGCCGCAAUGACGAUUUGAAGAAUAACCAUUGCGCUCUUUUUCUUUCUUUUUUCUUUUUACUGUUCCACGACCAUGAUCAAUGUCAUAGGAGCAGAUUGGUUCAAAAUUCCGCAAUCAUUUUAUUAUUAUGGGUAUGCUGCAUUGGGAAACAGCAAUAAAUUUGAAAAAAAAAAAAACAGCUUCACAACAAUGGACUUUUAAUAAUAAUAGAUAAAUGAAAACUUAUUCUUUAAUAUUUAAUUAUGAAACCCAUACAAGGAGUCUAUGAAACUGGCGGUUAACUGAUACAGGCUGACCUUAAACAAACAUUAUAUAUUGAUAUAAUUAAAAUUGAAACUUAUUUCCUAUCUUGAAAGUCACUCUUUUGUUUUUCAAUGUAAGUGAAAAGGUUCGAAAAUGAGUCUCUUACUUGCACUCUUUCCUUCUUUGAAAGUCACUUACCAUAAUGGCAAUUUAUUGUGAAGAAAAAUAGUACUAACAUAUAUAUUCCCCUUGGCCCCAACCAGAAAUAUAUAUGGUUCUCAAAUUGCUAAAAUUCUUUCCUUUGCUUUUAGUUUCUUAGGAAUGGGGAGGAAAGAGGGGGAACAUGUUUGGAUACUAAUUGUUUUAAAAUAUUAUUUUAUCUAUAUCAAAAAAUAUUUUUUUUAUCUUACGUAUAUAAAAUUAUAAAAAUAAAAAAUUUACAAUAAAUAUUUUAAAUAAUUUUCUAUCCCAACACGCUUAAAAUGCACCUGCGAUGAACCUUUUUUUUUAUUAUUAUUAUCGGUUUAAAUAGAAUUACGUAGAGGCCCAUCAAUGCGGCAGAGUGCAACUGUGCAUGAGGGAACCACAAGGCAAUGAAAAACACGAAAACUACUAAGAAAAGGUCUCGAAAACUAAAAGAGCAGCCAGCACCAAUGAAAGGCAAAAGUUGUAGCGGGAGGGCUGGACGAUGCGUGGAGCGGAAAAUGCUGGAGUAUUGGACCACCAACCAAACAAAAUAGUUUUAGUAUAUGGGGUUUCGAACUUUCCAGUCAACUUACAACAAUCUGCUUCUAUAAACAAUAAUAAAAGAGUAAUUAAAUUACUGGUAGCGUUGGUGUAUUUGGAUUUGCCAGCUUUGCUUCCAAACUCAUAUCAUCAAUUUGAUAGCACUUGGAUACGGAGAUCGCUUUUGUCUGCCUUAGUAUGAUAUGAUUGCUCACCCGCUGUAGACAUGAUUUAAAGGAAAAUAACACAAUAUAUAUAUAUAAGACCAACAAAUUAUAACUCAAAACUUUUCAGUAAUGUUAAUUCUAACACAUGUGACUAGACCUGCUAUCAUCAGCUGCAAUUCUAGAGGAAACUUGGACCAGAUCAGAAGUUGUAAAGGGCUGCAGUCCAUUCCUGCACUAUUCAGUUUACAGGUAGAUGGGUGGACCAUUAUAUGGAUCUGGUCCAGCGUGAAUGCAGUUGUAGUAAAGACAUGUUGGAUUUGUUAUGGAUCAAACUACUACUAGUAGGGAAAUGCUUCAAAGACUUCUCUUGUGAUUUUCUCCCAGCCGAAUGGUCCAAGUACACUAGCAAAAGAAGCACAAACGGUACCAAUGACUCGAGCGAGCUGAGAUUUUGGGCUUCAGAUUAGCACAAGACAAAAGGAUUUUUCACUUUUCUUCUGUAGGUGAUCCUGGACUCGCAGGUUGGCAUGCUCAAUUCAGGAGGUUUUGAGAUUGGAUAGGGUGUUGGUUAUGAAUGCACCGCAGGUUGGCAUGCUCAAUUCAGAGCCCUUCACAUGUAACCGUGUGUAGCCCAGGCCCAAAUGCCCCGGAAGUUUAAACUGAAAUCUCGGAAGAGCAGAUGGCAACGGUCGUAAUUCGUCAAGCAAUCCGAAACGUCGCCACACCCCCACGCCAGCUGGAAAAUCAGUUCAAAAUUCAAAAUCAUUUUGGAGCCGUUCAAACAAAAUUGUUUCAGUUUUGCCCCUCGCCUGCUGCCCUAAUCUUACCCCGCCAUUGGGGCUUGGAUUACUCGCUCCAGUCUAUAUAUAUAACUCCCUCCCGCAUUGCCUCACCACACGACCCCAAGUCCUCUCCUUCUUCUCCUUUCCCAGAUCUCGGAGGUCUCUCACUCUUCCGAUCCAGAGACGUCUUUGUAUACGCCUCUGGUAUCUCCAUUCCUCCUUUUUCCCUCUCUUCCAAAAAUCUCCUAUUCAUUUCUCAAAACAUCGCGAAAAUGAGAGAGUGCAUCUCCAUCCAUAUUGGUCAGGCCGGUAUCCAGGUCGGAAAUGCCUGCUGGGAGCUCUACUGCCUCGAGCACGGCAUCCAGGUAAAUUGCCUUCUAUCUAACCUCUUAUAUUUCAGAUCUGCUGUUUCUCUCAUUUUUGUUCAAGGAAAUGAUUCAUCUUUGGUUUGAUUUUGGGUGUUGUGGAAUAGCCUGAUGGACAAAUGCCGAGCGACCACACCGUCGGCGGCGGAGACGACGCUUUCAACACCUUCUUCAGCGAAACCGGAGCCGGCAAACACGUUCCUCGUGCCGUGUUCGUCGAUCUGGAGCCCACUGUCAUCGAUGAAGUCCGAACCGGCACCUACCGCCAACUCUUCCACCCUGAGCAACUCAUCUCCGGCAAAGAAGACGCCGCCAACAACUUCGCCCGUGGCCACUACACAAGUAUGUAACGUCAUAUCUAGUGCCAUAUAUGUCAAACACACGUAUCUCGUUUUAGUUUUAUCGUUUCAUUUCUGCAAUCUCUGGAUCUGUUUUGAGUUUUAGGCUCUUAUUUUAUUUUAGUUAUUAGACGAUUUUCGGGAUCUUAAUUGUUAGUUCGUAAAAUCACGAUGUAGUUGGGAAGGAGAUCGUUGAUCUGUGCCUGGAUAGGAUUAGGAAGCUUGCGGAUAACUGUACCGGGCUUCAGGGAUUCCUGGUCUUCCACGCCGUGGGUGGGGGUACCGGAUCCGGGUUGGGAUCUCUGUUGCUCGAGAGGCUUUCCGUUGAUUAUGGAAAGAAAUCCAAGCUUGGGUUCACCAUUUACCCAUCUCCCCAGGUCUCCACCGCUGUGGUUGAGCCUUACAACUCUGUUCUCUCUACUCACUCCCUUUUGGAGCACACCGAUGUUGCCGUUCUCCUCGACAAUGAGGCCAUUUAUGACAUCUGCCGCAAGUCCCUUGACAUUGAGAGGCCCACCUACACCAACCUUAACCGCCUCAUCUCUCAGGUACUCACUUUUUCUUAUUUUAAAAUAAAAUAAAGACCUUGGUCUGCACUCUCCGUUAUUAGUCGUUGUCAAGCAAAAUUCGUGUUUCUUAUUUAUGAAACAAACCUUGUUGUACCUCAGGUGAUUUCAUCAUUGACCGCAUCUCUGCGAUUUGAUGGAGCCUUGAACGUCGAUGUGAAUGAAUUCCAAACUAACUUGGUCCCAUACCCAAGAAUCCACUUCAUGCUUUCCUCCUAUGCACCCGUGAUAUCAGCCGAAAAGGCCUAUCAUGAGCAGCUCUCCGUUGCGGAGAUCACCAACACUGCAUUUGAGCCAUCCUCAAUGAUGGUCAAGUGUGAUCCCCGCCACGGCAAGUACAUGGCCUGCUGCCUGAUGUACAGAGGCGAUGUGGUGCCUAAGGACGUGAAUGCAGCUGUGGCCACCAUUAAGACCAAGAGGACCAUCCAGUUUGUUGACUGGUGCCCAACUGGGUUCAAAUGCGGUAUCAACUACCAGCCUCCGACUGUGGUACCUGGUGGAGAUUUGGCUAAGGUUCAGAGAGCCGUGUGCAUGAUCUCCAACUCCACCAGCGUUGCUGAAGUGUUCUCUAGGAUUGAUCAUAAGUUUGAUCUCAUGUAUGCCAAGCGUGCUUUUGUGCAUUGGUACGUGGGUGAAGGUAUGGAGGAAGGUGAGUUUUCUGAGGCUAGGGAAGACUUGGCUGCUCUGGAGAAGGAUUAUGAGGAAGUUGGGGCGGAGUCUGCUGAAGGUGAGGAAGAUGAGUACGACGAUUGAGCACAAGUUUGAGCUCAUGUUUGUGGUUGAGGGGUGCUAAUGAGUGCUGCUAAAUGAUUUAGUGUUUUUUUUUUUGUUUUUUUUGGUUCCUUGUUUGUGGGUCAAUUAAAAAACCAAUGUUCUCAUUGGUAUGAACAAAUUGCCGUGUUGAUUUUGGCUCAUUCUUAAAUCUGGAUUUGGUACUUUCUAUUUUGGUUUACUGUGUUUCACUGUUGUUUUGUUCUUGAAUUUCUAUUGAGCUUGAUUAGUAGUAAUUGGCCUGUUCUUUUUACUUCUUUCUUCUGUUCAUCGUAGUCAUUUCGGUAUAUAUAUAUUAGCUAUGUCAAUUCAACAUGCUGAUUUCAAGAACAUAAUUCAUAAAGCUUUUUAAUGACAGUUUACUGGUGCCACAAUUUUUGAGUUGUGUUCAUUUUACUCAAAAAACUUGAGUUGUGUUCAUUUUACUCAAAAAACUUGAGUUUACUCGAAAUUUUUGAGAACGGGUUUUGGAAUUUACGAGCCAGUGCGCGGGUCAAUUACUUCAAUUUUAGAACUUAAUAAACAACAGCUUGCGUAGAGAUUUAUAUAACGAAAGUUACAUAUAUUUGGUGAGAAAAGAAAAUUCAUAUUAUAUCUGGGAGAGAAAUUUUUUUAGUUUUACAAGCAAAAAGAUCAACAUAAGUAGGAGACAGAAGAGUUGAAGUUGCACUUGCACUUGGGUUUUUUAUGAAUAUUUGUUGAGUCGGAAGUGUACAAGAAGAGAUGAUUAUAAUUCAACACCCAUAAGAAGAAUAAGAGCAAAGCAGAUCUCGGAAGAUCCAGCCGUAAUUUUCAAGCAAAAUGUUGGGUAUCUGCAAUUAGGUAGCUAAUUAUGACAGCGAAGAUGGGAAACACGCUGAGCUCUUCUUCUUCUAGCUGUUGGAAUGAAUUGGUUGCAACAAUGAGAGGGGAAGCCCUGCCGCGGGCAUCAUACACUCAAUGUCAAUGUGGUGGCUAUAAGUAGAAAAGCAAAAAGGACUCGAUAUCUCCUUAAGCGUUACGUUUGCUGCAAAAUGUAUGUGGCAAGAGUGUAUAUUUUUUUUAUUAGCAGUGGUGUAUUUUUUUGAUGAAAAUUUUGAGGUUGUGGCAGAAUAAUUUCAAAUCCAAAGAUGGAAGAAAAUACAAUAAUGCCAGCACCCGCAUGGGCACUGCUGGCAGAGCAUAUAUAUUAGGUAUAAUACUCUACUUGUUACCACCAUUACUCAAAAAAAGAAAUGAGUGUUACCGCAGGCAGCCUUUCGCUUUCUCAAGAUUUGACGAAACUGCCUUCCGUUUCACUUAAUCUUGCUUUCCUUCAUUAGGAGUGCAUUGAAAUUUACGGCAAAAUUAUUGAAGCAGAGAACUAAUAUUUAAAACUGUACAAUAGCAAUAGUAGCAUCAUUCAGUUUAAAACCAAAACUGUACAGAUAGUAAAUAACCUCUCUACUGCCUAUUACAUUUACAUACACAAUCACCUCUCUCUCUCUCUCUCUCCUUCCACCACCAACCGCCUGAGUGUAUCGAUUGAACCUACGAAAUUCCGUGAAAUGCGUCAAUUCUCCAUAGAAGAGCACAAAAUCAUCAUUGAUUUACUCAAGAUAAGACAAGAAAAAAAGAUUAUGCUAGCUAGCUAGCAGCUGGGGAUGUUUGAAGAAAUGUUGGGCCUCUUCUCAGGAGGAGUUAAGAAGAGAUUAUUGAGUUUUUAUUUAAACCUUCUUGAUGAUGAUUAGUUAAAGGGAAGCUAGAAAGUAAUGAUUAACCUGACAUUCAUUAAUUAAUCAAUUGAAAAUUCAAGCAGGCUAUUGGUCCAGAUCAUUAGAUGGUGAAAGCAACCCGCGAAACCGCGGAUUCCUCCAAGGUUUUGGUUUUCUGUCUAAAAAAAUCUUAUGUGAAAAGAACAAGAAAUUGUCAGAUAAAACAAACGAUUAAGAUGAGGCAGAGGAGGGUGAAACAAAAUCAGGCACCAAAGUCAGGGAAAGAAAACAAACCUUACCAGACAUCAUAAAGCUAAAGUUUUGAUUUAGUCAGCAGCCUGGACGGACGGCAGAAGUACUAUUGUUUCCAGUACUGAGAGGUGAAGCCGGCAAGGCUGCUGGCCGCUUCGACAGCUCCAUCACAACGCCAACCUCGUGCUUAUUAUUAUUAUUAUUAUCAUCAUCAGAACAACCAAACAGGUUAAGAAGCACAUCCGCAUGAAUGUCCUCUCCUAUGUGGGAAUCCUCAUCUCUGAUCCUCCUUAUCUGGCUAUGCAGCAAACUGAAUCCGUCUCCAACGUUGUUUCUGGAUGUGGUGGUGGUGGUGGUCGUCCCGUACCUAUUACUACUACUACUGCUACUACUAUGACUCCCUGCUAUAUGAUUAUAUAUUCUAUUUUUGGUUAUGGGAAGCAGAACUGAUCUAGGCGAACAGUCCAUCUCCUCCGACGAUGAACCCACGCCCUCCUGACCUGCGUCCACCAACUCUCCUCCAACACGGCAAACCGUCCUCUUGACCAUCAUCAUCCUCUUCUCAUGAAUAUAUAUAUUUACUAGUCCUUAACUCUGAUCAAUAUUACUGCAUAAAUAGUUAAAAGCAAAUAUUCGGCAUGCACGGCAACGCUCUCACAAGCAACAAAACUAUGCCGCUCUUCUGAUGUCACCCCUGCUCCUGCCUUCUUCUUCUCUUCCAGUCUCUGAUAUAUAUAUAUAUAUAUAUAUAUAUGUGUGUGUGUGUAUUUAAGUGUAUCUUACGCAACACUGACGUACCUAAUGUGUUUAUAUAUGUAGGGAUAAUUUCUGAAACCUCCCCUGAGGUUUCUAAAUAUUUCACUUAGUUCACUUGAAGUUUUAAAAAUUACACUUACCUCCCUUGAUUUGACACUUUGGUAACCAAACCUUAAAAUAAGGUCAAAAAUUUAAUGAAUACCUUAAUAUGCCCUUAUCUUAUAAAGUUCAAUUCAUUCUUCUAAAUAGUUGUAAAGUAAUUUGACACAAUUAUUUAAAAAAAAAAGAGCAUCAAAUAUAUAUAUUUUUUAUAGUGCUUUAUUGGGAAUAUAGAUUAUUUUUAAGAUAGAGAAGAAAGUAUUAUUUUGUGUUUUUUAUGUUUAUGGACUAUUUUUUAAAAAUAAAAGUUUAUGUAGUAGUUUAGUAAUGGAACUACCAUAGUUUGGUAGUGAUUUUUGGCCAUUUAUUUUUAAUUAUUGUUGAUUUAUUCUUGAUUUUGAUACAAAAAAAAAGAGCUAAAAAAAAUGGAUGAUAUAAAAAGUCAUCAAAAAAAUUACUGGUUUAACGUUUAAUCUAAAUAAAUUUAGCGACAACGUUGAUAGUUCUUCUAUACUUCUAAUGAAAUAUAAGAGAAAUGAAUAAGAAGAAAAAAAGAAAAAAAUUAUGAAAUCCAUCCAUUGUAUAAACAUGGCAACAAGAGAGUUUUAUUAAAAUAUUAAGAUUAGUAUUGUCAUUUUAAAUGGAUAAGAGAGGUAGGUGUAAUUUUUGACACCUUAAGGGAGCCACGUGCAGUUAUCAAAAAUCUUAUGGGAGGUUUCUAGAAUUAUCCUAUAUAUAUAUAUAUAUAUAUAUAUAUAUAUAUAUAUAUAUAUAUAUAUAUAUAUGAUAGAAGGGUAUGUCUCGAAUAGAAGGAGCUUUAAAGGUUGAAUCGAAGCAAUUUGUGUAAUUCUUAUUGUUACUCGUGUACAAUUUUAAUAAAAUCCUCAAUUUAGUUGUUUAAGUUGAUCAAUUUAAAUUCACAUCCAAAUUGUUAGUAUAUUAGAAGUUACAAAAAUUACAUGUACUAAUUUAAAAUUAUACUACAAAACUGGAACUCCUGAGGCUGCUGUUAACUGUUAGGUGUGAGGGAGGGGACGUGUGGGUUAGGUGGAGGAAUACCAAAUAGCGGCGUUGUUCGGAUGCAUGUGCGUGUGUAUGCGGUGUUGAUGGUGUUUACUUGCGGAGGAUGGUCCGCUCGAUGCCAUUACUAUUCAUAUGAUUUUUGGUCAGUAUUAUGCUCUGCAUGUUCCUUCGCUCGGCCAAGUGUCUCGGACGGUUAAAAAAGCAUCUUCAUACAUCACGUGUUUGCGUCGCAUGGGGAAAUUUAAUACUACUGAUAUUAUCAAGACUAGCAAAGGAGUACUUGAAGCUGGACUUAAGACAAAGAGUUUGGAUUGAGUUCGAAUUUGUUUUUAUUUUGCAUUACUUGAAUUCGAACUCGAACUCAUGCUUAUCAACAACAAUCGAACUUAUUACGAGUUUAAUUGAGCUUAAUCAAAUCUAAGAAAUAUAAAUUUAUAUUUUAUAUAAUUUUAAAUAAGAGAUAAAAUAGACACUUCAUCUUAAUAAAUAAAAAAUUCAAAAAAAAUACUAUGUAAACUUCGAAUAGCUCAAUUAACCGCCAUAUCUUUCUCAUUUCACAUAUUAAAUUUGAGCGCGAUUUGUCAAAUAGUUUGAAAUGCUCAAACUCAAACUCGAAUUCAGGCAAAUACGAAUUCGAACUCAAAUUUUGAUCGAAUAAACUCUUAAACUACUCGAUCAAGUUCGACUUGUUUGUAUUCCUAAUAAAAAACUACAUGGUUUCGAGUAUUUUGUCUAUAUCAAUGACAAGACCUGUGCAUUUUAGAAAGUGAAAAAAAUAUUAAGCCAUAAAUAGAUGAAAUUAAUAAUUUUGGAUUUUGAUAUUUGUCAAACACUAACAGUUGCAAAUGCUCUCCUUGCAUCUGAAAUCGAAAACAUUUUAUUCAAGUAAAAAGCAGAAGCUAUUUUCAACUCCAGAAACUUCUGCAAUUGAGGACACUCACUGAUCCAUGCAUUUUUUUUUUCUAAACGAUCCAUGCGGUUAAGCACCAGGUCUGUUUAGAUAUUACUACUAGUAGUUAAAAAAAAGGUAUUAAUUUAGUCAGGCACUAAUGGCUAUGUACCGUGUGAUAUUGAUACCCCAUAAUAUAUUUGAUGUGUAGGGGGCCUUGGGAUGUUCCUUGACGUACGUGUACAAUAAGACAAGCCCCAUCCAUUUUAUUUUUUGAAAUUAGUAAAUCACGAUUCUCACGUGCCCCUUGGGAUAGCACUUAGCAGCGCGACAAGGAGAGGAUUAGGAAGUACUCAGUCCACGUGGCACGAAAUUAAGAGCGCGAGGGAUCGUGGCCAGCGAGCCUAAUCUCAAUUCUCAUGCAUUCACCCUUGGAAGAGUAUUGGACAGUGACUGGACACCCUUCCCGUUUGGGUUAGGACUUGGGAGUCUCAGAAGAGACCAUUAGUGGCCUGCGUGAAAUAUUAAGCUGGAUUAGGCUUCAACUUCUUCUCUCAAUUUCAAGAGACGCAGACAUCUGUAGGAGAUGGGCCUAUAUUUUGGGCUGGGUCCUGGGAGGGUAGGAGUUUGUAGUCUUCACAUUACACGUGUUAAACUCACAUAUCAUCGUAUCACAAAGUCAUCGCCGUACGCCAACCAACGUGAGUUGCCACAUCGGGUAUUUAUCGCAUGUCAACGUCCUCAUAGGACUCAAACAAGACCCGCGCCAUUCAUUUUUUUAUUUAUUUUUGUGAAUGGAGGAUAUCUAUAUGUGAUAGCUCGUACUUACCCUAUCUCAUACUCAACUGGGUUAAAGGAGACCAGAGGAGGAAGAAUUUACCUCUAGACCAAGAAAAGCAUUAUUGUACGGUUUUCAAAUUUUUAUUGCAAUGCAAAAACUUAAACCUCCUCUAAUUCACAGUUAAACUCGCUCUUAUAGAAACAAACAUAAACAUAUGCUACUUAUGCAAAAUGUGAAUUUUAAAUUUAAAAUUGAAUUACAUGACACACAUUCACACCCAUUUGUAUAUAUAUAUAUAUAUAUAUAUAUAUAUAUAUAUAUAUAUAUAUAUAUAUUAUCAGAUAUUGCCCAUAAAUAAAUGGAGUACAUAAUUUAACCAAAAAACUGUCCCUUGGAUUUAUCUUGCGCCCUUUCAGAAAAGCCGUUUUUCUCUCAACACAGAUACGAACGUACAUGAGAAAACUCCUUACUUAUCUACUCAAGGAUUCCUUUUCUGCUAGUUCACCAUUAUUUCAAAAAGUGUAUUGCUACACCAUUAGAAAUCGAAUUCGAGUUCUAAUUCCAGGCUUCGCUUGAUUUGCUUUUGUUGAUGAAUACUGAAAAAGUUUCUCCUUCGCGGGAGGGAAGCCUGGGAGAGGGAGUUGGAAUACCUAAUAUCUGAUCACCUUUCAGGACGAGAAAAACAAGCUGCACGCUUAAAAGUUAAAAGACCCAUAACUGAAGAUGAAACGCAGAAACAACGAGACAUACACCUAAAAAAAAUGAAAAGGUAGGGUGGAAAAGCCUGGAUCACACUGAAUGAAUCGAUAGCAUAACCACAAUAAUAAUAAUCCACGUUACUAAGAAGCAAAACUAGAUUCUGAAAAAUCUAAUAAGACAAAAUUCCAAAUAGCAGUCAGAUGUAAAUGUAAUGGCUAUCUUCUGGAGGGUAAAAGAAAGAAGGCAUCUAACACGAAAUGGCUCACUCUUCAUCUUCUUCAUCACCAUCACCACCAGCAGCUUUCUUUGCAGCUGCCUUCUGGUUCUUACGCUUGACUCUUCCAGCACGCCCGCCACCAAAUGGACUGGUGAUUGAAAAGUCAAUGUGCUUCUGGGAAUCAACUCUCACCAAAAAUGAAGGAACAUUAACUACCUGCCUUCCAACCCUGACAGAAUUAAACGAAUCAGUAUGUAGCAUUUUACCAUAUGCUUCCUAAUAAUGCAAGUCUAUAACCCAAAAAUCCAGGAGCCUUGAGCAAAUUUGUAAAACCAAAAGACACAAAAUUAAAACACUGAUAUUGAACUUACGCAAAUUUAUAAACCAAAAGAGGCAUAUUUGAGUUCCUGAAUCUUCCAUUGUCAAUUUUAUACAGGCCAAGUUAGACAAACUGCUUUUGGAUUAGCUUUUCAGUCACAGAAAAAGCAACCUCAACAAGGAGCACCUAGUCUAACCUCUAAUAUGAAGAAAUUAACUGAACUAGACCAAAAAGAACCUCCAUGCAUGAUUAUCCACACACACAACCUCAGAUUACAAAAGCACUGUACAUUUAUGGUACAAUAGUUCGACAAGGUUAACUUAAUUCAUUUUGGAAAAUUUUCUUUCAGGUGUUCAGCAAUCCUUGCUCCAUACCUUUCCAAUAGAACUGACUUCAUGAGCAUGUGGCAGGCUCAGAACUCUCAAACCUUAUAAUUAUCCAUCAUUCUGGAGAUAUAAUUAUUACCCAAAAUGUCUUAUUAUAUAUCCAAAUUGCCCACAAGCAGAAGCACUGAAGGAUAACAAGUGUAUAUAGCAAUGCAAAGGGCAUUAGCAUUCUUUUAUACCUCAUAAAUCAAAAACUCAUUAGAAGCAUUUCUCAUUAACUAAAGUCUUUCCAAAAUCACUGAGCAAUAUCAAAUAAGCCUUUCCAACUUCUGGAUUCACAUGUGAAGGUACAAAAGACACCUAAGCAACAUUAAGGCAAUCUUCCAGCAUCGAUAGUCAAAUGAAGAGAUAUAAAACACACUUAUCCAAUUUGACGAAGUACUCGUGAGCUGUGUAUAUACCUGAUGUGCCUCUGUCUAAUGAGCACGCGAGCAUGGUGAAUUGACUUGGCCAUGCCUGUCUUGAAGACGAGUGUUUGCAGGCGGCGUUCAAGAAAGUUCUCCACAGUCAGAGCCAAGACAUAAUCGAGCUUGUUUUGACUCUCUUCCAAAAGUCCAUACCUGUUCAUCCUGCGCAAGAGGGCUUCACCCUCAAAGAUACGACGAGGGUCUUUCUCAUCAAGAGUUAGAAGCAUUCUAGCAUUAUUACGAAUACGGCUCAAUGCAUACUGGACCCUCCAAAGCUCCCUCUUGCAUCUGAGUCCAUAUUCUCCAACAAGCCUCAACUCAGCAUCCAAACGCUCCUUCUCAUAUGGACGCCGAGGCUUUUUGAAGGUCUUCCCAUCUAAGAUACGAGGGGAGAAAUAUGUAUCCUAUUAAACAAAUCUGAAAAACAAUCCACUCCAAAUGAACUAAGCAGAAAAGAUUAAUCCAAUAAAAAAUAUCUCAAAAAUUGCAUCACUCAAAAGCUAUGCAGACAAGAACCACAUUGAACAGCAUCAGUAAAAUAAAAAAACCCAAAAAAAUUCGCAGAAUAAGAGAGAAAGGGUCAUACGUAUCAUAUAUCAAGAUAUGAUCUAGUUAAGAGAAGUGCUAUACAAGCAUAGGGCAGAUCACAGUUAUGAAACGCAUCAAUAACAUGCGCGAUCAAAAAGAAAGAGAGUUCGGUACAGUGAGAGAUCAUACAGUUGCGAUAGAAACUGACGUGAACCAUGGCUGCUACUGGGCCGGGGGAUUGCUCGCCGUCGUCAGUGGCAGUGGAAGUGAAACCGAGGAAGACACAGCCAGACAACUCUGCUAUUGGUUGGAUUCCUCGUUAUAUAUUUCAGUAUUCACUUCGGAGGCCAAUCCCACAAACCCUAGCAUAAAGCUGAAAGAUUUCCUGGCUUAUUUUAUUUUAGGCCUAUUGGGCUGCAGCCCAUGUCACCAAGCCCGAUCCAUAAUAAUACAAUUUUGUACUGGCUGUUAACAGUGUAGGAACUAUUAAUUAUCAGAAUAAACUACAACAUGGCUUGGCCCAUCUUAUUAUCUGGUUUUUGAAAUGGUAAAAUAUUUUGUCUCAUAAAUGCAAUUCGAAAUCAACUGUUGAGACAUUAACUAGUGAACUACUAAUGCACUUUUUUUUCCUUGUAAGAAAACCAUAAUGUAUUUGUUCUGGUUUUCCAUUAAACUUUUGCCCAUAAACUUUUCCCUUAUAGGCAAAGUCUUCAUUUUUUUUGUUGUGCAAAACAAAGUCUUCAUUCGAAUAAAAAAAAAAAAAUUAUCGAUGUGAAACAUGCUAUGGUAAGCUACAUUUUUUUUUUCAAGGGAUCGUCUGUGUACCGUAACCUUUGCAAGUUUGCACAUGUUUCUUUAAACUAUAUAUUGAUCAUGUUUAAUUUUUAGUGUCUCAAUAUACAUCUUAGCUGUGUAAACAAUUAAGCAAAGGCGUGUAGAACACAACAAUACAUUUGUUCCCCUGAGGGGAAGGAGAUGACACUACAAUAUUAGCACUACAAUAUUUUUAUUGUAGUACUACAAAUCUAAUGUCAACUCCUAGUUCUUGAUAAAUUUCUUUUUUCCAGCUCAGAGUAGGGAAAUGAUAUUAGCACUCCUUAAAAAAUCAAAAGCACUCCUUACACUGUAUCUAAUGUAAAAGAGGGGAAGGAGCGCUUAAGGUUUUUUGAAGGAUCAUUUCUUGAAGAGUUUGGUGGUGGUAAGGCUAAAAUAACAUGAAAAUAACAUUUUCAUAUAAACAAGUAGUCUUCAAUCCCACCCAAAAAACAAAAAAAAAAGAUGAUACGAAGAAGGUAUAUUUUUUGUACAUUAUCGAUGUGAAACAUGCUAUGGUAAGCUACAUUUUCAUUCAAUAUCAUAUUUAUGCAUGAAUUGUGAAAAUGUCACUACUGUUAGUUGUUGAUAACUUCGUACCGUCCUACUUAAUUCAAUGAAAACGGGAACGACCUUUUUUUUAAACAAAGGGUAGCUAUCUUCCAGUAUUACUUAGUUUAACAGAGAAUAUCCCCAAUAUCAUGUAAUCCUCUAGGCUUACCGCCCACCAAAUUCUUCAGCUCGAAUAGACCAGGUGCAAUAUCAUUAACCUUUUAUUUUUUGUUUUGAGUGCACAUUUUGAUCAUCUAAGAUCAACCUCGCUAGAAUUUUCAUCUGUUAUUGUGUACAGUUUUACUCACAAAACAUGGCAUUCCACACAUCUAUUAUGGCAGACUAAGAUUCAGAUCCAUUACAGACAGGCUUACAACUUACAAAAAGAUCGUCUCAGACAUAGAAUUCAAGAAACAUCAGUAUUUACAAUGAGACAUGCUACUCACUACUAAUUAAGUUCCAGAUCUCAGCUGCCGCUGGUGCCAGAGCUAACACUAUCACUACUGAGUAAUCUCACGUCCAUUUAGCUGUUCGUCAAGUAUUUGAGAUGGCCAUGAAUCUGAAGGUGAUGGAUAGCGAGGACGCGGUUUCUUCACAUUGGAGAGAGAAGCAUUGCAUUGAAAAUCUUCCGCUGUAUCAUUUUGGGAUCCUUUGUGGUAAAUAGGAGAAUCAUGAUGUAAAGGCACAACAAAGAUGGGAGCAACAACCGAAGAUGAUAGUAGUUGGUGAUCAGUGGAAGGCAGUCUCAAACUAUCUUCUUGCAGUUCUGAAGCAGCAAUGGGGCUUUGUGAAGGCCAAAUAUUUAAGUUCACUGACGACUGGGAUUGAGUCCUCUCUGUGAUCUCACUCUGAAGCUUCUCCACCUGAGAUUUGAGAGCGGAGUUUUCUUCAAUGAGCUCAUUCUUCUCAACAGCGACCUGUUUGGUAAUCAUGAAACAUUAACUUCAUCAAACAAAUAUGAUUGCCAUCUGGAAUCCCCACGUUGCCAUUCACAAACACAGUAGAAAUAAAAAAAAAAUUUUGCUCAAAAAAUUUAUCAUGGUGCUUAAAAGUAACCAAGAAAGCAAUACAAAUUCAUAAGCGUGCAAGAUUAACUCAGUCAUCGAAUUGCAUCAGUUCUGUAAAGUGAAUAGAAAUGGAUUUCAGAUUAAGCAAAAGCAAGCUCAGUUUGAAGGAGCUCACAUAAUGAGAUUCGGAUAAAAGAGCAGCAUUAUCCUUUUUGAGACUGUAAACCUGAGCAAGUAGAUCCUUAAGCAGUCGAAUGGUAUCAUUCACAAUGCAGGCCUUUCCACUGGACAGCUGAGCUGGUUCUGCAUAAAAAGACAGGAACCUGUAAUUAAAGGGAAGUUGAGAAUCCUAGUAAGUUUGUAAUGAAGAAACUAACAUAGCCAAAUAGUAUUUGGCUCCAAAUUAUUUGUUUGCGUCACAAACACAAUUUCUAACACAGAUUUUUAUCUUCCUAAUCAUCUUUUUAUCUCACAUAUGUCACAUCACAAAAAGUGCUACAGUAAUUAUUCCAAAUAAUAUUUCAAAUAAUCUCCUAUCCAAACACAAUCAAAGACGUCGGUUAUGCUAUACACCAAGCACAACAUUACAGAAUUUAGACCUAAGACAGGAGGAAGGAGAAUUAUACCAAUAGCUUUCCUGAGCUCUACAAAUAGGACGUUCAUGUGGUCACGUUUCUUCUUCUCCCUCUCUGCUUUAUGAAUUCUUUUAGAAGGUUUCCCCUGCUUCUUUUUGCUGGAGGAAUGCCUGAUGCAAAUUGUUUCAAGAAAGAUCCACAAAAAUGAGGUCAACAGGUUCCACAUCCUCGCAGAAAGAUAACAGUCACUUGGAUUCUGAAUGACAAUUGCAUAAAUAUCGGGGAACCUCAUAAUAUUAUGCUUACGGUUCCAUAGAAUGCAAUUGUCACAGUAAAAAUGCACCUUCUCUGGUGCAACUCAACAAGCUUUCCCAGAUCUAUGUCAAGGCAUCCCAAUCAUACUAAGCAAUGCUAUUUCUGACUCAAGAACUAAGGUGGAAAAAGGACUCAUGAUACAAAAAGCUAAUGAUUGCCCCAAAAAAUUUGACGGGGUAGGUAGUUAAAUCAUACAUAAAUGAGAACAAAAGUGCUAAAGGAAACAAACCUAUGGACUGCAUUGCCCUCGUCACCGUCUGGAAUAGCAGUUUCUGAAGCCAUACUCUGGUCUCUAGGUCACUUAAACCCAAUUCAAUAGCCUUUAACCUUUUUUUAUAACCUGCUAUAAACCCAAACAAUACAGAAGCAAAAAAAAAAAACCAAGAUAAUGCAGCAGAAAACAGAAACAAGAGCAAAAACUUCAACUAAGUAACAGAAAAAAUAAGUAUAGGGAAAGUCAGCCGAUGCAUAAGUAAUUACUAUAAACAGGUUUCAGUCUUUAGAAGUAUUAAAGUAUAAUUGAUAAUAAACACGGCAAAUAUAAAAAAUUACAUUUUUUCUAAAAGUCGUCGGAUCAUGGGAAAAGAUAAAAAAAAAAAAACAAAGAAGGAAAAUGCAAGAAUGGUUGAACGUAGGUUUUAAUUUUAUCGGACAAACAGCACACACGUACCUUGUGGUUGAGUGGAGAAUGAAAGAGAGAGGGUAAGCAAAUUAUUGGCGGAGUUGCACGGUAGAAACGGGGGAUGGAGUCGCCUUUCCACGCGACGGCGUGUGGCUGCCACCUUCAUCUUACAUGCGGUCCAACCCGACCACGUAAGCUUUGUCUCAAUUGUCUUUGACGAUGAUGGCCUUGCUACUCAACUUCUUGUUUAUAAGUUUUUCCUUCAUGAGUUUAAUUUUGACGAAAAUGAUUUACAUAUUUCACACCAAGUCCAGUUCGGAUGAUCAGAUGGACUCUUUCGUGCAGGAGUAAUUGAUUAAUUUCACUUGGCACGGCAAGCCUCUUCUCCUGUUGAUGUGAAUAGACUCAAUAGAGUUGAAGCCCACCGUAUAAUUUUGCAAGGUCAAUCUUUUCGAGCGUUGAUUCUGUCCACUAUGGAGAAUUUUAAUUGUUGCAAUAAAUUGCAUUCAUCAAGCCCCUGUAAAUAUCAACUUUCGACUUUUGCUCUGUGUAUUUGAAGUGAUUUGAUAACAUCAAUAAAUCAUUAAGUUUUUCUAUAAUAUUGACGACACUGUAUGCAUUAUUGGGAUGCGUUUUUGAUUGGACAUGAUGUCCAUGUAUAAAACCCUUGUCAACAGAAAUGGUUUAACUUGUAAAUUCUCCAAAUUAAAUUUUAAUAACAUGUUUGGAUAGUAAAUUUUUUUAAAAAAAUUUUUCGCUUGCAUCAUAAAUAUAUUUUUCAAUUCAACUUUUUAUAUUUUCAAUCACUUUUUUAUCUCACAUACAUCAUUUUACAAAAAAUUGUUACAGUAUUAUUCCAAAUAAUUAUUUGAAAUAAUGCUCCAUCCAAACAAAGCCAAGUUGCAUCAAAUUAAUUCGUCAAAAAGACAUGCUUUUCAUUAAUUAGUGUAUUUUUUUUUGGAGAAGAUAACUGUUGUAUAACCCAUUUUAAAAGAAGGGAAAGGACUAAAGAGACCAAAGAUAAUUUGAAGAAAAUUGAACCAUCACCGAACCCUUUUGAAUUUUUUAAACAGAGUUACUUAAUAUAGCAAUUGAUAAAUCAUCGACCUCCCAAGAAAAACUUUUCUUGUCUAUAUAUUUCAUAAUAAUCUUUAAUAGAUCUACUUCAACAUUGACUCUGGGAAAGAAGGGGUAGGACUAAACUUUGCCAUUUUUAUAGUUGGAAUAGUUAGAUGCCCAAUAAAUAAAGGGUUAUUAUCACUUUACCCCUUAAACUAUAUCACUACUAUCAGUUUACCCCCUAACAUUAUCUUUUAGUUACUUUACCCCUAUAAGUAAUUCAAAUUUUGGACAAAAAUACCCUUUUAUUUUAUAGCAUUACUACAUUAUUAUUAACACUUUAUUUGUUUAGAUUAUAGUGAUACAAUCACUUUAGUUCCUAACAUUAUUUUGUAGGCAUUUUACCUCAUCGUUAUCUAACUAGUAUGGUGAAAAUUUUUUAAAUAUAGUAACCUUUUUUAUAUAUACUUAAAAAUAAAAAAGUUGGAAUGGUUAUUCUUCCUUUUUUUUCACUUUAAGAGAUUGAAAAACAUAAAAAUAAAAAGGGUUUUCUCAAAUUUCUUUUUUUCACAUUUAUUAAUACUAGAAAAAUAAAAAGAGAUAGGAAAGAAGGAGACAAAAAAUUAGAUUUUGCAAAAAAAGAAAAUAAAGAAAAGUCUAACAUUAUUGUAUUACUUUAAAGUUGUCGAAAUUAGGAUUGGAAUUUGGCAGUAAACAAAAAAGUGAACUAAUUUUAAAAUAUAUAAAAGUAUUUAAUUCUUUCUUAUUUGUAAUUUUUAAAAAAGAAUUGAGCUCUCUCUCUCUCUCUCUCCUCUCCCCCUUCCAUCUUUCUAUUUUUUUUUCAAUAUUAAUAAGAUUGUCAAGAAGAAAGAAAUUAAUAUUUGACCUUUUUUCUUGAUACUAAAAAGGAGAAGAGUCACUCUAAAUUUUUAUUAUUUUUAUUAUGCGAAGAGGAGGGUAUUUUCUUUAAAGUUUUUUAAUUUGCUAAGUUGGUUUAAUGGUAGGAUAAAUUGCCUAAACAAUGACUGUAGGGGGUAAAUUGAUAAUGAGACUAUAUUUUAUGGGGAUAAGGUAAUAAUAAUUUUAAGGUUAAACAUGUCUUUUCACUUUAAUUAACAAACUCCGUUAAGUUUGACCGUUAGUUUGGGGUUAAAGUGACUAAAAGAUAACAUUAAGGGGAAAGUGAUAGUGGCACCAAACGUUAAGGGGUAAAGUGAUAAUAACCCUUAAAUAAAUGACUAUAAGAACACUUAUCUAUAUAUUUUGCUGUUUCAGGUAAGUCUUCUUUUGGGAACUAUAAUACGGAAAAUUCCUUUGCCUACUGUGGAUGCAUCAAAGUCUAAUGCUUUGAUGGCAAUGGUGAUUAUGUAUCAGUGUCUGAUGGGGUGCUUGAUAUGAAGCAACUGAGACAAUUGGAAGCCACUUUUUGGAAGUCCUUCUGAAAAUGAAGCAUAAUGGUGCAAUUGAUAAAACAAGGGCUGGAUUCACUGCUCUUUGCAAUCGUUUACUUUGUUCGAACAAUCCGAGGUUUGCUCAUUGAGCUCUCCUAAGUAUUUUGCGGUUAUCAAUCUUUGUGGUGUCAUGUUUAAUUAUGUCAAGAAGAGUCAUUUUUCUUUGUUAACUGCUACAACCCAUGGCAUCUUGUGAGCUACUUUUGUAAUACUUUGAUUAGGGAAUAUGGUGGAAAUAUGAAAUGAAUUAAAAAGCCGAAUUUGGUUGAAGAGUUCUCAUCCUUAUUGAACUAUUUGGUUUUUGUUGACCAUUCUGCUUAGUAUUAUUAUCUCUCUCCUGUGGAAAAUUGUUCUCAAUGUCAAUGAACUCCUUGUGAACUGAGAAUUAAUGCAUGCUUCUUGCUAAUUAAGAUAUAGAGGUAAGUAAGUGUUAAUAAAAUCUAUGACCAUCAAAUAAUAUGUUUUCCUUAAUCAGUUUUGUAUAGGACAUUUGCCAGAACAAAUACAUUAGUAUAGUAGUUUCGAACUUUAGGUUGUGUUUCUGUAUUUGAUGCUACUUAUUGUCAAGGCUAAUAUCCAUUGCAUAUUUUUGAGUGCCUUUAUUUUUUGAAUGUUUUGCCAUUCAAUGUACACAGCUAGCUAUACAUUCCUAAUCUUGUUCCUAGGCACAGUAACAAUUACCACAAACUGUCUUUUAUUUGGCUAGAGGGCUGAUUAUUAGUCUGUUACUUGUCUACCUAUGACUGGCAUCUGUAAGAUCUUCCUUGUUUCUUUGCUUUUAACUUGCCUGUUUGUUUGACAAGUUAAAAAACUUAACUUUUUCAAGUUUGAAAUGUGAGUUGGAAGCUGUUUAAGCUGUUUCUUCACGACAACCUUAAUGGAGAUUUAACAGCAUAGGAUUUACUUGUAAUAGCAGUCUUAAGUUUCUGCCCCUAUGCCAACUUUUGGAUCCUUUAAGUUGGUCAUUUUGAGUCUAUUGCAUAAUGUUGCUUCUCUUGUCACAGACUUUGCAAAUUAACAGAAUCCUGGAUGGCAGCAGAAUUUCUUUUCUUAAACCCAAAGACAGCAAGCCUUCCAUCCUCUUUGGAGCUUAGCCUGCUGAAGGAAGCUGUGCCAUUGAAUAUGAGAUGUUGUUCUACUGCUUUUCAGAUGAAAUGGACCAGUAUGUUUAGGAAGUUUUUCUCUCGUGUUCGAACUGCCUUGGAGAGACAAUACAAGCAGGGAAACUGGUAUCCUUAUGGGUCAGAAGCUAACGUUGGAGUUGCAUCCAGAAAUGGAACCAGAGAAAUAGUAGUAGAAAUGGCAGAUGAUCUGUUUAAUCUAAUGAAGUGGUUGAGUUACUUUUUUUUCUUCUCUUGCUACCCUUCUGCUCCUUAUGAGAGGAAGAUAAUGGCCAUGGAGCUUAUAUUGGUAAUGUUGAAUGUCUGGUCUGUCAUGCCACCAUCAAAAGAAAAUCAUUGUGCUCUUUCUUCUGAAACAAGUCUGUAUCCUUACAGUAAGGGCUUUAUUUUAGCUGAUUCAGCCUUGCUACUGGUUGGAUCGAUUAUUGAUAGCUGGGAUCGUUUGAGAGAGAAUUCGUUUCGUAUUCUACUGCAUUUUCCUACCCCGCUUCCUGGCAUUUGUAGUCCAGAUGAGAUCCGAGUAGCAAUUAUAUGGGCAAAGAAGCUAGUCUGCAGUCCACGUGUGAGAGAAUGUGAUGCUGGAGCUCUGACUUUACGUCUUAUAUUUAGAAAGUAUGUCUUGGAGCUUAAUUGGAGUGUUCAAUUGUCACUUGAUUUUGUCUCUUGUCAUGGCCAGGUAGAGCUGCCAGAUCGCAGGCUUGAAAUUCUUACACAUCGCUCGCCUGCAGUAGAAUAUGUGAGGUCGCUGGUUGAUUGGUUGCUCAUUACUGUGGAAGAUGGUGAGAAGGAUCUUUCAGAAGCAUGCAAGAAAAGCUUUGUUCAUGGUGUCCUGCUUACUCUUCGAUAUACAUUUGAGGAACUGGAUUGGAAUUCCACAGCCGUUUUGUGCUGUAUUGCUGAGAUGAAACUUGUAUUGGAGAAGCUAUUGGAAUUAAUUAUGCGAAUAACCUCUCUCGCCCUAUGGGUAGUCUCAGCAGAUGCAUGGCAUUUGCCAGAAGACAUGGAGGACAUGGUGGAUGAUGAUCGUUUUGACAAGGAAGUUAUGUCUAAGGUUGCAGUGGAAAAUGUGAUGGAGAAUGAGAAGCUUGUGCAAGAUGCCAGGUCAUCAGAACAGAUUGUUAUGGUUGGUUGCUGGCUUGCUAUGAAAGAGGUAUUUUCGGAGUUUUCUCUGCAUUGAUAUUGUUUGUUCUGGAAAUGCAUAUAAAACUGGCAAUGUCACUGCCCUUGUUGUUGCUGAUACUCGUUCUUAUUUUGAUGUAAGGUUAUCAAAUAAGCGUCAUAGAAUCUCCAUAGUAGUAAUCAAUAGGUCUACUUCAACACUGAGUGUGGGAAAGAAGGGGUAGAAUUAAACUUUGCCAUUUCUAUAAUUGGAAUACCUAGAUGCUCAAUAAAUAGAUGACCAGAAAAACUUUUCUUGUCUAUAUAUUUCAUAAUAAUCUUUAAUAGAUCUACUUCAACAUUGACUCUGGGAAAGAAGGGGUAGGACUAAACUUUGCCAUUUUUAUAGUUGGAAUAGUUAGAUGCCCAAUAAAUAAAGGGUUAUUAUCACUUUACCCCCUUAAACUAUAUCACUACUAUCAGUUUACCCCCUAACAUUAUCUUUUAGUUACUUUACCCCUAUAAGUAAUUCAAAUUUUGGACAAAAAUACCCUUUUAUUUUAUAGCAUUACUACAUUAUUAUUAACACUUUAUUUGUUUAGAUUAUAGUGAUACAAUCACUUUAGUUCCUAACAUUAUUUUGUAGGCAUUUUACCUCAUCGUUAUCUAACUAGUAUGGUGAAAAUUUUUUAAAUAUAGUAACCUUUUUUUAUAUAUACUUAAAAAUAAAAAAGUUGGAAUGGUUAUUCUUCCUUUUUUUUCACUUUAAGAGAUUGAAAAACAUAAAAAUAAAAAGGGUUUUCUCAAAUUUCUUUUUUUCACAUUUAUUAAUACUAGAAAAAUAAAAAGAGAUAGGAAAGAAGGAGACAAAAAAUUAGAUUUUGCAAAAAAAGAAAAUAAAGAAAAGUCUAACAUUAUUGUAUUACUUUAAAGUUGUCGAAAUUAGGAUUGGAAUUUGGCAGUAAACAAAAAAGUGAACUAAUUUUAAAAUAAUAAAAGUAUUUAAUUCUUUCUUAUUUGUAAUUUUUAAAACAAGAAUUGAGCUCUCUCUCUCUCUCUCUCCCUCUCCCCCUCUCCAUCUUUCUAUUUUUUUUUCAAUAUUAAUAAGAUUGUCAAGAAGAAAGAAAUUAAUAGUUUGACCUUUUUUCUUGAUACUAAAAAGGAGAAGAGUCACUCUAAAUUUUUUAUUAUUUUUAUUAUGCGAAGAGGAGGGUAUUUUCUUCUAAAGUUUUUUAAUUUGCUAAGUUGGUUUAAUGGUAGGAUAAAUUGCCUAAACAAUGACUGUAGGGGUAAAUUGAUAAUGAGACUAUAUUUUAUGGGGAUAAGGUAAUAAUAAUUUUAAGGGUUAAACAUGUCUUUUCACUUUAAUUAACAAACUCCGUUAAGUUUGACCGUUAGUUUUGGGGGUAAAGUGACUAAAAGAUAACAUUAAAGGGGAAAGUGAUAGUGGCACCAAACGUUAAGGGGGUAAAGUGAUAAUAACCCUUAAAUAAAUGACUAUAAGAACACUUAUCUAUAUAUUUUGCUGUUUCAGGUAAGUCUUCUUUUGGGAACUAUAAUACGGAAAAUUCCUUUGCCUACUGUGGAUGCAUCAAAGUCUAAUGCUUUUGAUGGCAAUGGUGAUUAUGUAUCAGUGUCUGAUGGGGUGCUUGAUAUGAAGCAACUUGAGACAAUUGGAAGCCACUUUUUGGAAGUCCUUCUGAAAAUGAAGCAUAAUGGUGCAAUUGAUAAAACAAGGGCUGGAUUCACUGCUCUUUGCAAUCGUUUACUUUGUUCGAACAAUCCGAGGUUUGCUCAUUGAGCUCUCCUAAGUAUUUUGCGGUUAUCAAUCUUUGUGGUGUCAUGUUUAAUUAUGUCAAGAAGAGUCAUUUUUCUUUGUUAACUGCUACAACCCAUGGCAUCUUGUGAGCUACUUUUGUAAUACUUUGAUUCUAGGGAAUAUGGUGGAAAUAUGAAAUGAAUUAAAAAGCCGAAUUUGGUUGAAGAGUUCUCAUCCUUAUUGAACUAUUUGGUUUUUGUUGACCAUUCUGCUUAGUAUUAGUUAUCUCUCUCCUGUGGAAAAUUGUUCUCAAUGUCAAUGAACUCCUUGUGAACUGAGAAUUAAUGCAUGCUUCUUUGCUAAUUAAGAUAUAGAGGUAAGUAAGUGUUAAUAAAAAUCUAUGACCAUCAAAUAAUAUGUUUUCCUUAAUCAGUUUUGUAUAGGACAUUUGCCAGAACAAAUACAUUAGUAUAGUAGUUUCGAACUUUAGGUUGUGUUUCUGUAUUUGAUGCUACUUAUUGUCAAGGCUAAUAUCCAUUGCAUAUUUUUGAGUGCCUUUAUUUUUUGAAUGUUUUGCCAUUCAAUGUACACAGCUAGCUAUACAUUCCUAAUCUUGUUCCUAGGCACAGUAACAAUUACCACAAACUUGGUCUUUUAUUUGGCUAGAGGGCUGAUUAUUAGUCUGUUACUUGUCUACCUAUGACUGGCAUCUGUAAGAUCUUCCUUGUUUCUUUGCUUUUAACUUGCCUGUUUGUUUGACAAGUUAAAAAACUUAACUUUUUCAAGUUUGAAAUGUGAGUUGGAAGCUGUUUAAGCUGUUUCUUCACGACAACCUUAAUGGAGAUUUAACAGCAUAGGAUUUACUUGUAAUAGCAGUCUUAAGUUUCUGCCCCUAUGCCAACUUUUGGAUCCUUUAAGUUGGUCAUUUUGAGUCUAUUGCAUAAUGUUGCUUCUCUUGUCACAGACUUUGCAAAUUAACAGAAUCCUGGAUGGAACAACUUAUGGAAAGAACAGUGACAAAGGGACAAACUGUAGAUGACCUACUGCGGAGAAGUGCUGGUAUUCCAGCUGCAUUUACUGCUAUCUUCCUUGCAGAGCCCGAGGGUUCCCCAAAGAGACUUCUGCCAAGGGCACUGCGAUGGCUGUUAGAUGUAGCCAACAAGUCUUUACUGGAACAGACUAAAGCAAGCAACUGCACUAAUGACUCAGCUGAUGCCCUUUUGACAAAUUCAAGUCAAGUUGGUCAAUUCGUUAUGCCCCUUGGGAUGGAUGCAAAAGAGAAAAUCUCAAAGAUCCGGGAUGAGGGUGUUGUCCCAACUGUCCAUGCAUUCAAUGUCCUUAGAGCCGCUUUUAAUGAUAGCAACCUGGCAACUGAUACAUCAGGCUUUUCAGCCGAGGCUUUGAUUUAUUCCAUACGCUCUUUCUCUUCGCCGUACUGGGAGGUGCGGAAUAGUGCCUGUCUUGCAUAUAGUGCUUUGAUUCGUCGCAUGAUUGGAUUCCUUAAUGUACAGAAACGAGAAUCAGAAAGGCGUGCUCUAACAGGGCUUGAAUUUUUUCACAGGUAUGCUUUGAAAAUUUGACUUUUAUGCCUUCAUGUGUCCUGUUACACUUUUUUCUGCCUCCUUCGAAUCUUUUGUGUCUACAUGUUGAAACCAGCAGCUAGAUUAUCUACUAAAUUUGUGGUCUUGGUACAUUUUCUCUUGAAAAGUGUAAUCAAGACUCAUUUCAACAACAUACUUGUGAAUCUGAAUAAACUCUGUGUUAUCCUUUGUAUAUCUUUUCAUGUUUGAUAGUUAUCUUUGAAAUGCUUCAUAUCACAAUGGAGGAAAAGUGAAGGUGUCAAAGUUUUUCCUAUGUGUAUUACUGUAUGAUCAACCAUGAUGUGCAUGGUUUUUUUGGUCACCCAGUGGAAUUGCUUAGCAGUUGUGUAUGUGCAGGAGAGAAGCAUGUUUUGUGUGUGCAACUUGGUCAAAAACUUGAUUUUUGAUAUUGCAGUAAUGUAUAUACUCUUACCAUUUCGUGGGAAUAUUAUACCUGCAUUCUUUGCCUAAUUUUAUGCUGAUCCUACGGAUGUCGACAGGGAAAGGAGUGUGUUGAAUUAGCAACAUGUUGUUUUCAGUAACUUCUGUUUUUCUGUUUGGCUAGUUGGUGCGUCUUUUUGGGGGUGGGGAUUGGUUUUGGGUAGUUGGCAAGGGAAACUGGGGGAUACAAUCUGCUGAGUUAGAUGAGUCCUUUGCUGAAACUUGAUUUUUGAAAUCAAAUUCUUGAAACAGUCAUGAGCUUUGAGUGGUAGAAGUGGUAUUCUGAAAUACUUCUGGCUGGCAUUGUUAACCAGGAUAGACAGAGAGAGUGAUUAAUGCAAUUACAUGAAAGCACGGUCUUAAUCAUGUUUUUUUUGAAACAGUUGGUUCUUAUGUUGCAUAUUGCAUCUUCCUUUAUCAUUCACAAGUUAAUUAGUUGAUAUUUCCAGCAUAGAACUUUUGCAUCCCUAGUUCCUUCUGGUUUUAAUGUCUUCUCUUCCAUUACUAGAAUUUGGCAUUGCUAAUCUAGUGCCUAUACCUUUUACAUGUGGAUGCGUGAGUGCUGGAACAAGUCUUGAGUAUUUCUUUCAUCCUUUUAGUUAAUUUGGAGCAUUCCAAUUACAUUACUAGGGUCCAUAGAUUUUUUAUCUCUUUUUAUUUUUGGUUCUGCUAACUGAUCUUUAAAUUCUUCCUAUUUUGAAGAGUUGCAGAUUAAAGUCAAAAAAGAAUUUCGCAAGCUUGAACCAUUAUUGCAAUCUAUUUUUGCAGUUCCAUUAUCAAGACUAUAUGAUUGUACACAAUUGCUUACAAUGUCCUAAGAUAUCUCAUUAAUUGCUUGCUUUUUGUUACAGGUACCCUACACUGCACUCUUUCCUAUUUCAUGAACUUAAAAUUGCAACAGAGUCGCUUUUGGAUGGGUCUUCUGGACAACAAGGAUCUAAUUUGGCAAAACUUGUGCACCCAAGCUUGUGCCCAAUUCUGAUUCUGUUGUCACGGCUAAAACCUUCAGCAGUUACAAGUGAAGCUGGGGACAGUUUGGACCCUUUCAUAUUCUUGCCAUUCAUCAGGAAGUGCUCUGUCCAAAGCAAUUUCCGUAUCCGAAUUCUUGCUUCCAGAGCUCUAACGGGCCUGAUAUCGAAUGAGAAAUUGCCCAUUGUGCUGCUUAAUAUUGCCUCUGAGUUACCUUGCACAAGGAAUGUCUCUUCUGAUGCAUCCAACUCAAUUGACACACAAAAUGGUACUUGCCAUACUUUUAAUUCACUUCAUGGGAUGCUGCUGCAGUUGAACACGCUUCUCGAUAACAAUUGUAGAUGCCUUGCUGAUUCCUCCAAAAAAGAUGCAAUUCUGAAGGAUCUGAUUGAAAUUCUUGCAAUACGUUCAUGGAUUGGUAAGUUUCAACUCUGCCCUUGCCCUAUCCUGAAUAGCUGCUUUCUUGGGGUACUGGAUAACAUGCUCAGUAUUGCAACAACGUGUCAAAUGAGCAGAAGUAUUGCUGCUAUUUGGAACCUCGUAUGGGAGUUAUCUUCAGAAUUUUUGGAUUUAGAAGAACCUCAGAAAUUGUCAUAUCAUGAUCCAACUAUUGUAGAACUUCGCAAACAAGCAGCAGUGUCAUAUUUCAAUUGCUUAUACAAAACGUCUAAGGAAAUUGCUGAAGAGGAUAUUUUGAUGCCUGGAACAUGUUCCUCAACUGCUUCAAGUUUGUUAAGAGUAUCUGAUUUGGACAGUGCUCUCUCAAGAUUUCAGGAAAGGCUGAGAGGCUGCAUGUCUGACACAUCAUACGAAGUUCGUCUUGCAACUUUCAAGUGGCUAGUUUUAUUUCUGAAAUCAGCAGGAUUAAAAAUUGAAGGAGGCAAUUCAUCUUCUCAUGAGAUCAAGACAUAUUUGUUGUACAAUAUUGAUCUCCAGAAAAAACUAGUGGAGCUUCUAGCGACCGAGAAUAACCAUAAAUGCACAUAUUACAUUCUUAAAAUUAUCUACAUGUGGAACAUGUUGGAAUGUGAAGAAAAGGGUGAACUAGAUGUCAGCCUUGGAUCAAUUGGUGUGGAUCGCAGUUCAUUGUGGUGGUUUUGGGACAAGUUAGUGUCCAUGUACAAGGUCACUAGACAUUCAAAGAAUCGACAAGUGCUCAUCUGCUGCAUGGGGAUAUGUGUAAAGCAGUUUGCUAGCAUAUUCUCAAGCUUUGUUUGCUCUAACAUGAAGAAGGAAGAGAUAGCCAUAUCCAGCCGAUAUGAUCUUGAUGGGAGACUCUCCAAGUUUUACGAUUGCAUCAAUUAUUUUGUUGAACUAAUACAACUACACAGUUCUGCAUCAGAGCCUGUAAAUAUGCGGAACGCAGCUGCAGAAUCAAUAGUUGCAUCUGGUUUACUUGAUCAUGCAAAGAUAGUUGGUUCUUUAGCCUUCAGUAACAGCAUUCCAGGCGAAAAUCCUAGUUCAGAAUUCAAAGUAGAGGAGGUUGUGAACAUAUAUGGCCAUAAGAUUCUGAAUCUAUGGUUGACAUGCGUAAGACUUUUGGAGGAUGAAGAUGUGGAACUCAGAAGGAAGCUUGCCCUUGAUGUUCAGAAGAGUGUUACAUCCACAACGUGUCAAAAUGUUGAACUGGUUCCCAGCCAAGUGGAGAAGGUUAUUGAGAUGAGUUUUGACCAUCUCUCUUCAAUCUUUGGUCACUGGAUUGACUACUUUGAUAGUCUCUGCAAUUAUGUUUUUAAUGCUGUAAACUCUGUGGUCAGUGUUGUGCCAAGAGGAGACCUUGUGAGACGUGUUUUUGACAAGGAGAUUGAUAACCAUCAUGAAGAAAAGCUAUUGAUCUGUCAGAUUUGUUGCUCUCACUUGGAGAAGCUUCCAAUUUCUAAAUCUUGGGCAGCUAACUCCUCUGACAAUCACAGGGUAAGGGACCUUUUACGUGGUUGGAGGAGGAGAUUUUGCCACUACUUGACAUCAUUUGCCAAUGACUCUAUUGGCCGACGGGAAGUUGAUUGGAUUGGUGGCGCCGGUAACCAUAAGGAUGCAUUUUUACCCUUGUAUGGAAAUUUACUAGCCUUCUUUGCCCUGUCAAAUUGUAUCUUUGAGGGGGAGAAAGAGAGGAGCAAGUCCAUGCUAGAUGAAGUUUCUGUGCUUGGCAGGACUCUGCGUCCAUUUCUUAGAAACCCGAUGAUAUGCAACCUAUAUUUGUUAGUGAUUGAUUCACAUGAGAAAAUGGUCGGCGCAACUGCUAGUGAUAUGAACAAAAGCUUGAUAGGAAAUUCUUCCGACUGGGAAGGUUUCAAUCCUUAUUUUCUCCUUAGGUGUGAAGUAUAAUCUUUUGUAAUUCUAAUUCCAUGAUCUGUACGCAAAGGGAUCGCAGCCAUAUCUUUUGGGAGUUAGGAGCCUCCCAAAGUUGUAGAGACCUUUUGAGUUUGCUACAUAUCUAAUACAUGUAUAACUUGCUCUAUAAUUUCCGCGAAUAUCUCUUCAUUACACACAGAGGGAUUUCUUUAUUGCUGCAUUUUUCUGUUUUACUCGGCGCCAUCUCCAUUUCGAAGGCGGAUUUCCAAUUUUUUUUUUUGGGGUAAAACUUCCUACACACACACUGCCCAACCAUUUUUCUUCUUUAAUUUAAAUCACGAAUAAAGGUGCUACAGUAAUAUUUUCCUAUUUACCCAUCUAAUCGAUCCGAUAUCGGACUGGAUAUUUAGACCACAUAAUAGAAUGGAAUCGUGUUCAUGAGACAUCACAUCCGAUCAAAUUGGUACCCUUCUAGGUAUUUCAGGAAGGCCACCGGACCUCUACCCUUGGUGUUUUUGACCCUGGAUAUAAGUUAAGAAACCUUAAACAGAACAUUUGCAUAUAAUAACUAAGGCCAUGACUACACUUGUGUAAAUCUCUUCAUAGCAGAAGAGAGAACUCUGCAGGAGGUACGUGCAGCUACAGUAAUAAAAAUUUUCCCAAGUGAUUAGUCGGAAAUAACUGAAAUUUGUGCUUGCCAUUACAAAUUUGCAAAAUACCAACAAAAGAGAGAUGCAAAAAUAACUAUCAAGUGUCAUCCUCCUCGUUGCCAUCCUCAUCAUCAUCUUCCUCAUCAUCAUCACCUUUUCCCUUAAUUAAAGAUGAGGAAAUAGACAUUAGACGCGGGCAGUAAAGGAAAGGAAAUAAAAAGGCAAAUGAUAUUUGCACUCUAGGCACUCCACACUUGCUCAUUUUCGUUUAAAGUGACAAAAAGACCCAUAACCUAGAAUCCUUGACUAUUUGAAUAACAAAAUUGCCCCCAAAGGCAUAGUAAAUGCAUAGAGGGGCAAUUUCGUCUCUUUAAAUAAUUUAUAGGUUUUUUGUGUCAUUUCAUUAACUGAUAAGCGAAGAUAGGGUGCAAGGAGCUUAUCUUGGAGUGCCAAUAUCAUUUGCCGUAAAAAAUGAACUAAAUUGUAACAGAUUAUAGAAAAAUGUUACAAGCAGUUGUAGCAGUUGACAAAUAGCACAGAAGCCAAUAUUUACAGCUCAAAAACAAGAAGGAGUCCAUGCACCAAAUACCACGAAACAGAGCUAACAGGAAGUGAAACACCAGAACUUCUCCUACUUCUGUAUUGCCACCAUAGCCAGAGUUAUCUGACCUCUGCUUUCAAAGAUAAGACCCAAGAGACUUAAAUCUGUUUCUUAUUUACUACUUAGCAUGUACUUCUUACAAAACACAACAGAUGUCAGAAUUGGAACAAAAAAGUGAAGAGAAGUCAUGAAGGUACAAGUAAAUUGGUAACCAUCCAUAUGACAACAUCAAAUAACAGAAAAGUGGCCUUUGAUAUGGAUAUUGGCAGCUUAUUAUAAAAGAAAGUGAAAACUAAAGAAAGCAGAUUGGUGUUAUAUGUCAACCUGGUCCUCUGAGUUCGUAACUAAAUGAUCACCAACUCAAGAAACAAAUCUCAACUCUUGGAUGAAUAUCCAUAGAAGUUAUGGUACUGAUAAAAUUGGAACUGGGGGACUAAAAUUUAGUCAAAUCCAGGAGAGAGGGUGCAUGAGUUAGUAAAUGAGAAGCUUUUCUAGGUUCUAAAGUGCCUGCCUGUUUCCAUGGGUUCCACAAAAUGUAAAAAAGCAAAAGCGUUGAUUUAUACCUCUUCAUCAUCCUCUUCUCCCUCGGAAUCCUCUUCAUCAGCUUCCUAUCAAAUCAAAAUAUGAAUUCUGUAAGCAAGGAGAAAGAGCUAUAAAUCAGAAAAAAGGAACAGUCAAAAUGGAUUUUACAUUGUUGAAAUAUUUCAGAGGGUUUGGCCAUAAAUCCUCCUUAAUUAUCUCUGCCACCUGCAUGUUUAAAGUAGAUGACAGAUAGAAUGAGAACAGGGAAGAAACCAUACUUCUUUAUUCAUCUAGAGCUACAAAGAUCACAAUAAAGUGAUCAUUAGAAGUAACAACUUGAAAGCCAGCCAAAAGUGUCAACCAUAUAUAUUACUACAUUUUACCACAAACAAAAAUAGCUAAUAAAGUUCUUAUAAUUGUAUGGAGAAUGAAUGUGAAAAGGCUUCAUAAAUUCAACAAGUAAUUACCUCAUCAUUAAGCCCCUCUACCUCAAGCGUAUCUUUUUGUUGUGUUUCAGAAAACCAACUAAAGAAGCUGCAUUGACAAUGCCCAAAAAAAAAAAAAAUGGUGAACUCUAGAUCAUACUUUCAGUUUAAGGGAAACAUACAGGACCUUUAGUAGAUAACUUAUAGCUUUCAACAGGUAAGUGACAUCAAUUCAUCAGAUGGUCACAACAAGAUAAAGGUGAGAAGCAUAUAUGCAGAUUUGCAUGUGCUUAACAAUUGGAAGACCAUGAAGAUUUUCCUCUUCACAAUCACAAUUGGACUUAAAAUAUAGUCCGGACUUGAGUUGCAGUUUCUAAAGAAGAGAUUUUCACUUGGUCAAUGCUCAGCUAGAAUACUAAGCAUAGCUAUUCAAGCUAAAAUGUCAGUCAACACCAUGGUCAAUGAAAAGCAUAAUCAGCAGUUGGAGCUCAAUAUGUAUCUACUAUACAUUAAACAACUUUUACAAUCUAAAACAUGCAUGCAACAAUGACGUUAACAUCUCCCUAAAUUCCUAACAGUUGGAUAAUUAUUAUCCUUAGCUCCAUGUGGUCAUCUAUAAGUUGAAGAUGCUAACAUCACAAAGCGUAUUUAUUUUCCAUGUCCAAAAAGCCAAUCAUCUGAUAUAGAGUCUAGGGAAAAAUCUGAAUAGAAAUGCAUUAAUUAGCAGAAAAUACCUGUCAUCAGAUGCUGGUCGUUUAUUUCCUUUCUUUUCAUGACUGCCUCCAUUUGCAGCCCCCUUCAAUUUUUUGAAGUUGUAGAAUUCAAAAUUAUAUACAAUAAAGGAUUCAAACUGCCCAAGAAGGAAUAUAUAUUCAAAUUAUUACCAUGCCUUCCUUCCACUUGAUAGCUGUACCAAUUAUCCUUGUUGUUCCUUCAUCUAAGAAGAUAAAUGUCUUUGUCAGCUUCGUAUCUUCAAAAUAUGGGUUUUGCUUGAAAUUCUGAAGAUCAAAAGCAAGAUUUCAGGUAAGAAUACAAGUACAAUACAUAGAUCAAUAACCAGCCUGCAAUGUCAAUUGUCCAUUUGUUUUUCUGAAGGAUGAAAGUUUCACGAGUAAAAGAAGAAACACACAAAUGUAAUUGAGUAACCCGAUUUCACAUCCUUAAAAUCCUCCACAUCAAGCGAAUCCAAAUAUUUGAAAAUCUGCAUAAGAAAUAAAUGUACAACCAAAUAAUCAGUGGCUAACAUUCACUAAAGAUGGUCAAGAAAAAAUAAAUUUAUCCUCCUAUGCUUAUAUCAGGAGGGUAAAUUGAAUGGCAAACUAAUCAGACCAAGUCAAAAGGUAAACUGAAAGGAAAAUCCUUUGGACUCCCAACCAAAAAUUUCCAAUCCACUAAAUUUCUAAGCACGUUGCAUACCUUCUGAUCCUCCUCAUUCAACAGAUCACCAAGCGCUGGAUGACUCAAAAACUGCAGGAAAAAGUAAAUUAAUAAAAAAUAAAUAACUAAAAGGAUCCCCUAAUAAGUUUCAACUUCAUUGAAAUUAGAAAAGGGAUGGCUUUGUAACUCACAGCAGUCAACCAAAAGUCAGGAAUUGUCUUUAUGAUCUCGCUUCUUCGGACAUAAACAGGCCUCCGUAAUUCAUUGUACUUCUGUUCAAUUUCCAGUACUUUGUCACUGGCAUCUUCAUUUACCUGCAAAGAAUAAGUCUUUUAGUCAAGCCCCACUUCCGCGCAAAGAAUCCCAGGCAGGAAAGAAUUAAGAGAAGAAUUCAUCUGGAAGUGUCUAAUCAACUUUUGUUUUUUUCUGUCUCCCUUAUUUAUUUAGCCAUCUUUCCUAAUUCCUGGGUGUCAAUUCUUUACCAUAUCAGCAUAUAUACUUGCCAGAAAAUUUCCAGGUCCACAUACAUCAUAUCAAGAUCAAACUAACUGGCUACAUGUAUAAACAAUUCCCAUCUUUGUAUGUCUACAUAAAUAUAUCUACUUACAAAAAUCUACACAGAAUGAAAUAAUUCAACAGCCUGUCUAACAGAUCAUAAUAUGAUAAAGAAGACCUGAUGGAAAGGCAAAAGGAUCCAAUCCAAGACACGAUUAUGCAUGCAUAAAUACAUGUAUUGAUGUAUGUCAGGGGGAUCCAAAAACGUUCUUCAGCUCAUCUUGGACAUCCCUAACUUUCUUAGUUUUAGCAGAAAGUUCAGCACGCUGAACAGGAUCUUCCUCAUCGCUAUCUCCAUGAAUGCUCGAUUUCUUUCCAGGAAAUGCAGCCAUACUUUUGUUGGAGAUAGUGAGGCAAAUAGAAAUUCUCAGGCCAAAAAAUCUUGCGGGUUUGUGAUUGUAAAUAACUUGCACUUUCAGGAGAACAUACUAUUGGCACACAGAACAGGUGGAUGGUGGAUGUCAAGUCAAAAAAAGCAAGGUCAACAUGUUUAAGUAUGCUCCUUCAGAUGUGCAAAUUCAGGGAAGAAAAAAUUUCACAUCUGUUAUGAGCAUCAUUGUCCAACCAUUCAUCCUUUCAAAUUUCAGCAAAAAAGAGUUAAUGUAUAUAUCUUUGCUAACAUCUACAGUGUAAGAGUUAGCAGGAAGGAACUACAUCAGUUUUCUCAUAUAUUAACCUUGAUUAACACCAAAAAAAUGAGGCAACAACUACAAAAACAUUAUCAAGUACUCGCCCACUCCACAAACAAUUUUUCCUUGUAGAAGACAGAAGUCAACAUAUUAACUAGCAUCUGUACAAGGAUCAAGGAAAAACAAAUACUCCCUCCGUCCCACUUUGAUAAUCUUGGUUCUUUUUUCACACAGUUUAAGAAAAAGUAGUUAACUUUGUUGAAACAAUCAAUUUAGGUAGCUAUUUUCCUAAAAUACCCUCACAUUAAUUAGAGUACAACUUUAUGGGAACUUGAAUUGAUGGUAAAAAAAGAAUAAACUCUCGUUAAAUGGGGUAAGUUUAUAGUAACAACAACUUACAUUGAACAAGGGUAUUUUAAAAAAAUUAAAAUACAACUACAUUCUUCAAUUGGAAAGUGGACUACAAUUUGGGACAGACGAAACAGGAAAACAUGACUAUCAAAGUGGGACGGAGGGAGUACAAGAAGAUUUUCACGUGCAUAAUUCUGUGCCUUCAAAAAUUAUCCUUUCCAACAAAAAUAAAACUGCAUACAAAGCCUUUUCCUCUUUAUUUCCAUUCGUUGCACCGAAACACUACAACAUUUUGCAAGGCAAACAGGGAUCACCUUUUGUAGAAAUAAACCGCUAGAAAAGUUAUAAUUGAGAGGAAGAAAAAUUAAGUAGAUAUGUAGGGGGAGAUGGGAAACAGAGGAGACCAAAACUAAAAUCAAAUUUUUUUAAUUUUGCCAAGUAAAGGAAAAGUAUUCAUUAGAAUAUUAACCUAAAAUGUGGUCUGUUUCCAUCAAACUAAAAAGUACCUUUCGCCUGAUAGGAGGGGAUAAGGAGAAGUAACAAUUGGAGGUGGGGGUAAUAAAAAUUAUAUUGCUAAUCUAAUUAAAAACUAUCAGAAGAAGCAAAUGCAAGGCAAGGAGCUUCUUGUAUCUGCAGCGAUCAACAGAUGAGUGUAUAGAAGGACCAAUUUGUACUUGCUUAAGCUCUAGCAUCUAAAUAUCAGCCGUCCACAACUCAACCCAACCCUCCAAUGUAUUGACGUAAAAACCCUAGUGGCUCUCAUCUAUGACCAUGCAGAUGUUAGUAAUUCCACGAACAAAAUCCCAAUAUGUGAAACUAGUACUGGUUCAUUCACGAUAAUGAUGACAAUUUUUUCUAAUAGAAAACUAGAAACGUUUAGUAUAAAUUAUGCAAAAGGAAAAAAAAAUAUACCUUUUCAAGCUCGUCCUGGACUUCUUGAAGCUUCUCGAUAGAGAGAACAAGCUCGCCAUCAAUGGGAUCGGAGUCUUCCUCCGCUGGAGCGGCCACCUUGGAUUUCUUUCCUCGCUCAGCCACCAUCUGUUUGUUUAGAGAAUGAAAGGAAACCCUAGGCGGGUUGUAGGCAGUUAAGCUUAAGCUUCAACCCCUGGAUUGGAUUGGUGGAAUGAGGAGUGGGGAUUGUAUGAAGCGGCAGAGUGAAGGGAGUCCAACUUCUUUUCGAGGGCAGAGACAACAAUUAAAUGAAAAUAUGUGGGCAAAUGUUUUUAAGUUACUUGUUCACCAUUUUGUGUCUAAGCUCUGCUAGUACUCAAUCGAAGCUAAUUUAUGGUCACAAACAUUCUCUUACCAUCAAUGAAAGGUUUUGGACAUAUAUAUACUGUAAAUCUUGCAUAAAAUUGAAGGUGUAUACAUUAUCGCGGUUGGAUAUAUGAUAUAUAUACAUAAUUUAAAUUUCAAAUUCAAAUUCAAAUAAUCUGUCAUGAAUUUUAUGAUGAAAGUGCAUAUACUGUUAAUACAAAAGAACGGCGCAAAAACUAUGCUAAUAUAAAAAACAACAGGAUGAAGAUAUCAGAACCAACAAUGAGCACCAACAACAUCAUCAGAUCCUCGAAUUAAGUCUAAUAAGAUAAAUCUAAUUAGUAGUUAGAAAAUAAUUUUUAUUACGAAUGUCUAACUCUAAGAUUGUAACUACCUCUUUCAAACAUAAGGGCGAUAUAAUAUAUCCUAGCAUACUCAUUGGAGUUUUUUUUCGCCUCUUUAUAUGAUCAUAUAGUAUAAUCAUGUAAUAGUAUCUCUUUUUUUUUUUCAGUGAAGGAUCAAUAGUAAUUGUAAGUUUUGUCGGGAUGAUUCCUUCGGAAAAAAAAAAUAAUGACUUGUGUUUUAGUCCUCUAUGUUAUGGCCUCUUCAAUUGAUUCUUUAUUGUUUAGAUUUGACUUAAUUUUCAGAUAUUCUUCUGACUUAUUUCAUUUUUAGUUCCCGUUGGCGUUGUAUUUGAAUGCUAAUUGAUCCUUAAAUCCGUAUUGACUUUUUUUGUAGUAUGCUUUGAGGCGUCCUCCUUCAAAAUCAAGCAUAAAAGAUGCAUGGAUCCUAUGUAUAUAUCGUGGAGUCAUUGGCAUGCUAAUCAAGAAGCCAAACUAUGCAAUUUCGGUACUCAGCUCUAUUCUGUUAUUAAUCGUUAGUUCCCCACUUCUUUUUUUUUUUUUUUGGAGAGGGAGAGCAGUAGAAUAAUAAGAUUAAUAGAGAUAAUAAUAUUUCUCUCAAAUAGUUUGUUUUAUUGAAGGGAACAAAACCCAAAAUAAGCACAACAUGAGUUGAUCUAGCAAAUCUAUGAGUGGAUGGUAUGCUUGGAACUUUCACAUAACCACAGUGGUAAUCAGUAAGGUCUAAACGUAUACUAUGGUGAUGACUCCAGCCCAAGCACCCUUCCAAUUAUUUAUGAUCCAUCAUAUCGAUCUCUCGCAGUAUCCAUCUCAAGGAAUGCUGGAAAUCAAACACAGGAGACGAAAAGACAAAUUCCGGUUAGCGAGAAAACGUAAUAAUAAUUACAGUACUAUAUUAGUAGUACGCAUCAAAAAAGAAUGAUGACGGUCCAAAUCAAAACCAAAAGCAGCAAAAAGAAAAAAAGAAAAAAAAAAAAGAAACACUAAGCGCAGCACCUGUUGCAGUUAGUACUAGAAGAGAUGGGGAAAGGCAAGGAGACACCACACCGUCCAGGAAGGCUUGUGGCAGCAUCCGGCUUGAGAUUUGGGAAGUGGCCGGCGGCAGACUUGACGCAGUUGCAUGCAGUUCGCCUAUCUUGUUGGGUAGGGAUGCUCCCCAAGUUUUUCACUCCACUACAGCAUGAACUUGAUGGAGUGCCUCCUUGGGUGAGAUACGGCACGCAAGGCUCAAGUUCGUGGGUAACUUGUUCACAGGUGAUUGCUUCACCUGGCCUUGCCACCAAG